rnacentral:lncRNA from 1 species
UUCAAUUGUCUUUAAUUGUAAUUUUAUUUAAAGUGGUGUUUUGUAAGAAUAAUGUAAGGGUGCCAAUAGCUCCACUCAAAAAUUUAUAUCUAUAUAUUCUCUUCAACAACCUAAAACUGGGCCAAUGGGCAAUUAUGAAGUCCAUUGGAUGUGUUGCACCAAACUAAAAGUCAAUUUUUUUUUAUUACUACAAUAUAUAUAUAUAUAUAUAGUAGUUUUCUAAUUAGGGAUUCCUGACUUUAAUAAAGUCAUGGAUCAGCUAAAAGACAAAUAUACAGUGCAUUGGAGUCUGUGUUUAUUUUGUCUUUUAACUAAUUCCUGAUUUUAUUAAAGUCAGGGAUCCCUGAUUGGAAAACUACUAUAUAUAUAUAAACAAAUGUUUUAAUUUAGAAUUUUAAAGUGCGGGAUAGUAUAUAUAUAUAUAUAUAUCAACAAAUGUUUUAAUUUAGAAUUUUAAAGUGCGGGAUAAUCUGGAAUAUGCAGUUUUAAAAACUUAAAACUGUAAGCCUUUAAAACCAUACAAUUUUAAAUUUUUCUCAAAUUUUCUCGUACUUUAAAAUUUCAUACUAAAAAACUACUACAUAUAUCAAUAAAUGAAAUGACACAAUACAGUUGGCUUGCCGUUGCAAAGCCUCAUUGUUUGUUAUUAUUUAUUGGCUUAUUGCAAUAAAGACUAAAGAGAGCUUUGAGCCAUGCAGCAUGGGAAGCUACAUUAAAAAAUAAAAGAAUUUAAAGCUUCAAGGGCAUAAAGCGUGCCCACCCAAUUAAAUUUUUCUUUAAAAAAGAAAAAAAAAAGGCUGCAAUUGCAAUGACUUGAAUUUAUCAUCAAUUCUGGCUUAAUUUGGCCCCGUCAUUUUUUCAAGGAGAAUGUCCAACUCAAUUGUGACGGCUACUGCUUCAAUUUUAAUUUUAUUUUUCUCAAGAAUAGUCAUUUUCAUCCACCAUAUUCCUGCAUCCUGAUGCGUCCUUAUUGCUUAUAUUAUUAUAGACCACUUUUGGAAGCAUAACAAUUUUUGCACACAUGGUCUCCAUCUUGCGGACCCAAAUGUUGAUGAUGAUAUACUUGCAUGCUACAAAAUAAGCCCUUUUAAUAACUUAUCAUCUGGUAAAUGAUGGUUUAUGUAUUUAUUACAUAACAAAUAUGUUAUGCCAUAUGCCACCUAUUAGUGAAAGAUGUUUAAAUAACUACUCUUGUAGUAAACUCCUGAAUGAUGGCAAGUUAGAUUUAGACUUAAUGCACUAACUUCGAUAUUAUUAUUUUUUUUUAACAUGGUAAUUAUUUUCUUCUCGCUAAGAAGUUGCAAUGAUUGAUAAUAAGGGAGCAUUUUGCUUUAAUACAAUCCUUAGUAGAAGAUUUUCUAGAGAUGUUUAUUAUUACCAUUAUUAAUCCCGCGUUGGUCAGGAUUUGAUUACUAUAAUAUUGACGAUUCGAUUUCUAACAAUUUUGUUUAUUAUAAAAUUAAAGCAAGUGAGUAGUCAUCUAGAAAAUCAUAAUCUCUUUAAAGGCAUCUAAAGGCAAUGGCAAUGUAAAGUGAAUGUGAAUCUAUUAUUAACAUGUUUACACGUGUAUUAAUCUUAAAAUAUUUAAAUAAAUAAACCCAAGAUUCUUGGUUCCAAUAUGAGCUUUAUAGUUAAGGAGACCCACUUCGUAUGAUGGACUUGUGAGUUGUGAGAGAAAUCUCUAGAAUUUAAUUAGGCCGAAAGAAUCUUAAUCAAAUCGUAUCAUCAUAAAAAAAAAAAAUUCCAAAUUUUGUUUUCUUCUUUUGACAAAAACCCUCGUUCAAAAUGAUUCAUAUAAAUUUAUCAAUAAAAGAUUUUGAAUCAAUUAGAAAAUGGAAUUGUCAUGCGCACAUCUUUUGCUCGUUCAGUCCUUAAUCAUGUUUUAAUUAUAACCCAAACACGACAAUGACAUGUACGAUCUACAUAAAUCCUCGAUAUUAAUUGUCAAUUGGUUCUGCGAAUUCAAUGUGCAAAGUCUCACAAGUCAUAAUAAAUUCAGGAAUGAAAAGUACGAGCGGGUAGCAAGAAACCAUCACUCAAUUCCAAUUGAUAUGUACACUUCAUUCAUUUUGUCUUUUACAUAAAUGGGAAAACUAAAAAGCGUAACAAUCAUUAAACACAAGCCCACUGCCCUGCCACUCGGCCAAAGAGGGGCCGUUGCUCUCUUACAUUGGUUCAAUGAAGGGAUUCAUUGAAGGGUGCUUCGACGGGAGCGGUAUUAAGAUGGGUGAUCACUUGGGAGGUUUUUGAAUUGCACCUUUCUUUUUAAAACAACAAGCUUAUAGAUCAGCUGGUAUAGAGUUGUUUUAAUAUAACUAAAGUUCUUGGUUUAAGGUUUGAAAAUGCAGUUACGUUAAAAUAUUUGUUAUGAGAGUUUUACCGUUCUAGUAAUCAUAUCCGACUCGAAUUUGGAUUAGUCGGAAUUCAAUAUAAUUUUUGAAUAACAGAUGAUUUAAUACACAAAAAAUAAAGGGAUUCAUCUCUCAAUUAUUAAUAAAAAUAAAAAUGCGGGAUGUGUAUUUCAGUGUAAAUAAUAACAAUAAUAAUAAUACAAUACAUCCCCAUCAAAAACCUAGCUGAUGCUGAUGCUGAUGCAGAUUCUGAUUCCCCCGCCCUUUUAGCCCAGGAAGCAGACGAUGACAGCAUCACAGUGCAGAAAAGAAAGAAAGAAAGAAUAUCAUUAUACUCCCACAUCUUCUUAAACGUUGUGCCCUCUAUAUGCACAUAUGCAUGUACAUAUUAUUAUCAUAUUGUAGUAAGUAAUGUUUUAGCUUUCAACAUAAUCAAUAAUUUAUUAAUUUACAGAGUUAUUUAUAAUUCAAUUAACAUACAUCAACAGCACUUCAUAAUUUCCUAUUACAAUUUGAGAAGUCAACUGCGGAGCUUCUAGGUGUUAAGAAAAAAAAGAGAUUGAGAUCCAAUUAGAUUUAAAUUUUAAGAAACAAACAAGUAAUAAUAUAGUCAUAUUUUAUGUAAAUAAGUGAUAAUAGAGUCAUAUUUUAUUCAAUUAAAAUAUCAUAGUCAACUACAUUUAUAAUUUCAGUGAAUUAUUAAUUUGUGAUUUGAAUAAGGCGACAAAGUUAUGUAAGUUUUUUUUUAAAAAUUAUUAUCUUAUUAUUUUAUUAAAAUUAUUAAUUUAAUAUAUUAUCCUAAAAUUGUGUGAAUUUAUUAUAUAAUAAAUAUUAUUAAUUUAUCAAAUAUUAAUUCAUAGUUAUUUUAUAGCAUGAGUACUUAAAUUUUGACGAAGUAAAUCAAUAUUUGUUUGUACCUUGCAGGCUUGUGUCGGUUUAAUAAUAAUAGAAUGUACUUCUUUUUUUCUUUUUUCCUUCUUACGACAAAAAGUUCGGUAGAUUUUGAGGUCCAGUCGUGAAGAGACAACUUGGGUAAGUGUGUUUUUUUGUAAUGUGUGCAAUUUGCUAGCUUUUCCGAUGAUUUUUGAUUUGGGAUUGCGUUGUAUAAUUUGCGCUGUCAUCUCCUUCACCUUUGGAUUCUGUAUCUCUCUAUUUUGUUGUGCUCUCUCUCUCUCUGUGAAUGGUAGCCACAUAUACGACUCUUUUUGCCCUGAAUACAUGAAAUAGGCUUUAGUUAUUUUAUAUGAUCACGUAAGCUACAUGAUUCUUUUAUAGUUGUUAAAUAAAAAUUUAAAAAUUAUAAAAAUAAUAUAAUUUUAUUAUCUUAUAUUUCUACAACCGUUAGAUUUUUAUCAAACGACUGUAAAAGAAUCAUGUAUCUUAUAUGAUUAUAUAAAAAAACAAUCUCCCAUAAAAUAAUUGAUCACCCUCUUUUUAUGGAAAAUUGAUGUACUUGCUUACACACAUGACAUAUUCUCCUUGGAAGUAAAGAAAAAUUUUCCAUUAUUCUGCAUUGGGCGUCACAGUCCUGACAGCGUUUUAGGCUCUGUAAAUAGCAAGAAAAUAAUUUGUUUUCUUAUUUCCAUUUACUAAUUGACCAAAUGAUGAGAAAAAAAUGAAAAGUAAGGAAAAAAAAAGUUUCUAUUAUAACAAGAUAAUAAAGAUUAAAGUAAAAUACCAUGAUACGUGCAAUUCUCUAAAACGAUAUCUAAAUUGAAAAGUGUAAUAAAUAAUUCGGGGAAACUUGAAAAAUGUAACAACAAAAUUUGUGGCAAAUAAGAAUAAAAAAUAAAAGCUUAUUGGAUGGAGCCAAUAAAGUUUAGAAAGUUUUUAUUUCGUUUAAGUUUAUAAUUUAGAGUCACAAGCAACAAGUUCGUAAAGAUCAUGAAUUUUUUGAGGAUUGUAAGAAAAUUGUGAUUGAUAACAACAAAUUUACAAUUAAUAAUUAAUAACAGACAAUGGUUACGUGGGUAUUUUCCAAUUUACGGAGCCUCAAGGGCCAAGGUUGACCUAAUAUUGACAUACAAAUAUUUUUUUUAACAAGAAAAUAAAAUAUGAUAUAAAAGAAUGUGUACCAUGAUAUAAUUGAUAGAAUUUCCAUUCUUUCAAGUUCUAAGAGAGUCUAAGAGAAACGUGAAAGGCUUAAAGUGCAUAAAAAUAAUAAAAGAGACGUGUGAAAGCCAGAGCAAUAAAAAAUAAAAUAAAAUAAAACCCCUAAAUCGGAAAUUCAAAGAAUACACAGCUUAAAAAAAUUGUUUUUAUUUUUGUUGCAAAAGAAAAUAUUUUAAGCGAUAAUACCCUUAAAGUAUGAUGGCAUGUAGAGAUGGCAAACAAAUCUGAAUCCGACCAGCAUCCCCAAAGAUCUAGAGGAUCUAAAUGCGGAUGUGUAUCCGGAUCCACUUGUAUAUGAAAAAUUAAAUAUAUGAAUCUGCAUAUAUUUUUUUAACAAAUAAAAUAAAAAAAUAGAAUUUAUAUAAGAAAACACAAACCCUAAGCUAAAAACACAUUAAACAUAAUAUUAUAAUACACCUAGAUAUGCAUAAACAUUAUUUUAGAUUAUUUUAGAUUUGUUUAGUAUUGGAUGAAUUUAUUUUUAUUUUAAAAAUAUUAAAAAUAUUAUAAUUUACAAAUAAAUAUUUUAAAUGUGAAGAUUCGGAUACUCAAAAUCUAUAUGGAUAUUACCCACAUUCAGAAAUAGAUACGGAUCCCAAAAUUAAUGCUGGAUCUAGAUUUAGGUUUGAAUUUUACCAUCCCUAAUAGCACGAGGUCUACCGACACGAUUAGCCUCCCAUCAUUCCUGAGGGCAUGAUAACAAGAUAAUAAAGUAAAAUUAAAAAAAAAAAAAAAAGAAGGAUGGACCAUUUUGUAAAGUUACCCAAUUUUUGGGCUAUUUCCGUGAAUAUCGGAAAAUAAAUUCAAGACUUUUACCAGAAACGUCUGGAUUUGGCAAAGUUGUGUGCUGAUGGGGGAGGUCAAGCAUGUAAAGAACAGGACAACUGUCUCUCCCAACAGCAACAGCACAAGUUGGUUGCUAACCUAUGUUAUGUGUUUACACAUUACACUCGGUUUCGUCUCUUUGAUCAUGAGUUACUGAACCACAAUUAAAAAGGAAAAUGAAAAAAAGAAAGCUAUAAAUAUUUUUCUCUGUACUCUUUCGCAAUCAAGGGUCUCUCUCUGUGUCUCUGUGUAUGUGUGUGUUUGUUUCUUGCUCUGCAUGCACACACAUGCGCCCCUUAUCUUCGUCUUCUUCACCACGUGGUUUCACUUUUUGUAACGGCUAUCAUCACCAUCACCAACUCCACCCAUAACUCUCUUCUCUUCUCUUCUAUGUAUAAUAAUUUGCAGCAACUCUCUUGCUAGCUCGCUCUCAUUUUCCCUUCAAACUUUGUUCUUGCUCUUUUUAAGGCAACUUUUUAAGUUUAUUUCUUUUCUUUUUUCUUUAAAUUUCCCUUAAUGGGUUGUUUUUAUUGUUCUUGAAUUUUGAGUUGAAUUUGAAAUUCAUUUUGAUCAACCAAUGGCUUCAAUUCUAAGGUUUAGGAAGUUAUGUUAUGCAGUGCCUCUGAAGCUUCAAUCUUUUGAAUUCUCAAAAGUUGAUCAAAAACAAAAAGUUGACAAGAAAGAAGAGGAUGCUAAUGUUUUUUUACCUGCUCAGGACUUAUUAGAAGUUGAUGAUCAGAAGAAAAAGUACCCUAAGCAACAGCAAAGAAAGUGGAGGUGCAUAGAUUCUUGUUGUUGGGCAAUUGGGUAUUUAUGCACAACUUGGUGGCUUUUAUUCUUUCUGUAUCACUGUUUUCCGGCCACAAUGCCUGGCUUUCAGGUCCCUGAAUCGCCCGGAGUGAGGCUUAAGCGUGACGGCUUGACUGCUCUGCAUCCUGUGGUUUUGGUGCCUGGCAUUGUGACUGGUGGGCUAGAGCUUUGGGAAGGCAGGCCUUGUUCUGAAGGCUUGUUUCGCAAGCGGCUUUGGGGUGGUAGCUUCACUGAAAUAUUCAAAAGGUUAUUGAAAUUUCAUAAUUGAAUCACAUAUAUCUGUCUGUCAAUAUAUGAGAGUUGUGCAGGCGUUUAGGACUUUCUGUUGUACAGCGUAAUUGCAUUUAUGUCAAUUUUUAAAGAUUUUUUAUCGUGUUGGAUACGUAAUAUGACUCGUUUGGUGAUUUUGCAAGUUGUAUUUGGCCUUUGCAUUGAAUGGGUGAUGUCCACUUUUGUCAAUGACAUGGUUUUAGAUUUGUGUUGAAUUUGUGAAAUCAUGUGGGUUCUGUGCUGUCAUUUUGGGGUAUUUGGAUUGAGAUUUUUGUUGACUUAAUACUUCAAAAAAUGUGUUUGGUUUUGUAAAUUGAUGUGGGAGUUGUGUGGGUAUUUGCAGGCCUUUGUGUUGGUUGGAGCACUUAUCAUUGCACCAUGAGACCGGUCUUGAUCCACCAGGGAUUCGAGUUCGUGCAGUUCCAGGGCUGGUUGCAGCUGACUAUUUUGCUCCUGGGUAUUUUGUAUGGGCCGUUCUGAUUGAAAAUUUGGCAAAGAUUGGAUACGAGGGGAAGAAUUUGUAUAUGGCUUCAUAUGAUUGGCGGCUAUCAUUCCAGAAUACAGAGGUAUAAAAGAGUGAACACUCUGCUUUAAUGCUCCUCUGUCUCUUAAUGUAGAAUUAUUGCAGCAUGAUUGAUCAUGUUCAUUUAGUAAUAGUCUCAAUUCUCAAAUGAUAUUGAGAGAAAAAGCCAUUAUGGAGAAGGGACAAACUUUUGGAUGGGACCGAGUAUCAAUACUUCAUCUAAAUUCUCCCAUUUCAAAGAUUUCAACGAAUCAUAUUUUCUAGAAUUCUAAAGCCUUCCCUUUUUUCAUUUUUUUGUCUUUUUUCUCCAAAGAAUACUUCUUUUUUCUUAAUGACUGCUGGUUUUAUGACUCUUUCUGGCUUUUAACUGCCAAGGAAAAAAAGAUAGAUCUUCAUGUCCUCCUCUAGUAUACCAUAUAGUUUUCACAAUGCAUAUUUGUUACUGAGAUGCCAUAGCCAUUUUGAUGAAGUACAAAGCAUAGAUACAUUGAUGUAAUGAUUUUCAAAUGAUUUUCCACUAAUAUGUUCUAAUCAACAAGCAGAUUCGAGACCAAGCUCUUAGUAGAUUGAAGAGUAAAAUUGAGCUUUUGUAUGUAACAAACGGCUAUAAGAAAGUAGUGGUGGUGCCCCAUUCCAUGGGGGUUAUCUAUUUUCUACACUUCCUUAAAUGGGUUGAAACACCUCCUCCCAUGGGAGGCGGUGGUGGUCCAGGUUGGUGUGCCAAGCACAUAAAAUCAGUCGUGAACAUUGGUCCUGCAUUUCUGGGUGUUCCAAAGGCAGUUAGUAGCAUUUUCUCAGCCGAGGGCAAAGAUGUUGCUUAUCUCAGGUUAGUCCUUGCAACUUACCCUCAGCAUUUUAUCUUUGAAAAUUGAUUCUGAGAUAUUGUCAUUUCCCUGUUAGAUUAUGAUGUGAACAUCAAUUAAAUCAUUAAAUAGUUAUAGGCGUUAAGGCCAAAAAAAAAAAAAAGGAAAUUACAUUAUAUUGAAAUACGAGGACUUUAUAUUAUUUAUAGGGAACAGGGCUCAUACUAGAGGUCACAAUGAAUAUUCUGUCAUAAGAUCGGAUAAAAAUUGUUCUAUGUGAAUUAGAAAGUAGGUGAACUUAGAAUGCAUUAUGAAGUUGACUCUUUCGUAUGGCCCUAUAGAGCUAUGGCACCUGGUCUUUUGGAUUCUGAGAUUCUUGGGCUUCAAACACUAGAACAUGUCCUGCGUGUGUCUCGAACAUGGGAUUCCGUCGUGUCAUUGUUGCCUAAAGGUGGAGAGACCAUCUGGGGUGACUUGGAUUGGUCUCCAGAGGAAGGGCAUGCCUGCCAACUGGUAAAGAAAGGAAACUUUCAGUGCUCUCGAAAUGACCACUAUACUGAUGCAAUGAGAGGCUUCCAAAUAAAAGAGACAGAGAAGUAUGGAAGGAUAAUCUCUUUUGGAAAGGAGGAAUCGCAAUUACCGUCGUCACAGAUCCCUAUCCUUAAUUCAAAGGUACCAUAUUUUCUCUUUUUUUCUAUUUUUCCUCAUAGUCAGCCCCAGCUGUUUGGAUUUAGGACUUGGGAUUUAGUCGAACAAACUUUUAUUUAUCUAGUGAACCAACUUACGCUGUAAAAGGUUGCAAUGCUUAGUCAUGAAUUGUGUAAGCAAUAGAAAUUGUUAGACUUAACUGAUAGUUCACCGAGUGUUUCUAUCAUUUUAUAUUAGUAGCAAAGCUUGGUUCGAUUUUCCCUGUGCAGGAGUCACACAGACAAUUAUUAAUAUCUAAAUAUUGAAUUACUUAGGAAUUUAGAUAUGUGCAGUAGAUCUUUGGUUUCAGUAACAAUAAUAAAUCCUUCUUUUUUUUCUUUUUUUGUCAUUUACUUGUAGUUUGGGAGACCAUCAUUGCAUUGACUGACUCAGUAGAGCAACUUAGUUGUUCAAGUACUUGUGAAACACAACUUAGCUCGAGCAACCUAGUAGCUUUUAUCCUCAUCUAAUAUCCCCUGUAUGGCCUUUUCAUGGUAUUGGCUUCUACCAUGUAAUCGGGGAGCAAUGAUAAAUUGUUCUUGGAGACACCUCUGACCUAGGAAGUUUUAUGGUUAGAGCAUAACAUAAUAGAAAAUGAUGGUGUGGCAGUUAUAGCCAUAUGUUCUGUUGUAAGCUUAUUAGCCCUACUUAAGGAAAUUUUUGAUCAAUUAUCAACAUUUCAGUGCCUUGUUCUUCCUUUGUGGCUUUUUACUCUGAAACUGCAUAUCAUUCAUCAGCAGGAGCUUUUGCAUGGAAGUGCCACCGAAACUGUGAACUCAUCAUGUAGAGGGGUUUGGACUGAAUAUGACGAGAUGGAUAGGGAAAGCUUCAGGAAAAUUGCAGAAAAUAAAGUUUACACAUCAAAAACUAUUCUUGAUCUACUCCGAUUUGUGGCUCCCAAAACAAUGCAACGAGCCGAGACUCAUUUCUCUCAUGGUAUAGCAGACAAUCUUGAUGAUCCCAAAUAUGAGCAUUACAAGUACUGGUCCAAUCCCCUUGAAACAAAGUAAGUGUGAAAACCUUUUAAUUCAUUUGACCAAUUUUCAUUAGUUAUGAGAGAGAUAGCUAAAGAAGCAAAAUUGACCCCCUGUAUCAGGUUGCCUGAUGCUGCGGACAUGGAAAUAUAUUGCUUAUACGGUGUUGGUAUUCCAACUGAAAGAUCAUAUGUUUACAAGCUCUCACCUAAUGAUAAGUGCAAGAGCAUUCCAUUUCGGAUAGAUACCUCUGCAGAUGGAGAUCAGAAUAGCUGCUUGAAAGGUGGAGUCUACUUUGUCGAUGGAGACGAGAGCGUGCCAGUUCUAAGUGCUGGCUUCAUGUGUGCUAAAGGAUGGAGAGGAAGAACCAGGUUCAACCCAUCUGGCACUGCUACAUACAUCCGAGAGUAUCAGCACAAGCCACCGGCAAGCCUCCUUGAGGGAAGAGGUCUCGAAAGCGGAGCACAUGUUGACAUUAUGGGUAAUGUUGCUUUAAUUGAAGAUGUUCUGCGAGUUGCUGCUGGAGCAUCCGGUUCUGAGAUUGGAGGUGACCGGAUUUACUCAGAUAUCUUAAGAAUGUCUGAGAGAAUAAAUCUUAGACUGUGACUACGUUGGAGAUGUUCGAUAACCGGAGGAGAAAACAGCGGAAGAGAGUGAGAGAGGAGAACUAACAAUAGAGUACAGGUGCAAGAAUUGGACUCCCUUGACAAGUAACUACAACUAACCACCAUGCCACUGAAAAAGGCUUGGAUAUGUGAAAAAAAUAAAUGGGAGGGUGUAAAGAAGAAUGGCAUGAGCAAGUGAAAAUAGUAACUCUAGUAGAAUAUGAUAUGGAUACCAGAAUAAAGAGGCUGACAUAAUUUGAGCUACCCAUAUCCUAUUUCUCAUCUAAAGUUUGCAAUGUUCUCAUUUUUGUAAUCAAAUAAUAUUAAUCUAUAAUCCUUUCAUUUUGCCAAAAAUGUUUUUGAUUAAUAUUCCAUGCAGUUGCCUUUCUAAGUUGCAUAGGGAUAAUUGUCGUUGUCAAUGAGCUUUCACAUCAACCUGAAUCUUAUGCCAGACUCAACAGGCAUGAAGCAAGGCUCGGAAGGCCCAAUGGGUUAUUGGGCUUCCUUAUAGAGCCCACCCAAGCAUUUUUCUCAUGUGGACAAUUUUCCCCAUUGCACAACUAAAUAUAUGAAAGUCGAUAUACAUAAUUUUUCUUUCAACAUCAUCUUUGUUACGUGGCGAAGAGUGUGGAGGGAUCAUCAUGUCCAAUAUCUUAAUUAAGAUCAAACGCUAAAUAUAUAUAAGUAUAAAUGAUUAUUUAAUAGCGACCCUCGAAACCCUAUUGAAUUGGGCAAACCUAAUACCAUCAUCAUUCAUGCUUAGAAAUAGUUAUAAGAUUAAAUUAGGAUUAAGGGGACAUCAAUUAGCUUAAAGUAGCCAAAGAAGAAUUUGAGAUCCACCAAAUCUCACAAGAUUUAAGCCCAAAAAAACAAGAAAUUACACUAAUUUCUUGCCCCCAAUAGAAGUAAUUAAGGGCACAUACAAAAUCUUCCAAUCAAAGAAUGAAUAGACUUCUUUGCCCAUGUGGAAAUGCUUUUCCACAUACAAGCAAUGCAGGGCAAUUUUGGAUUUCCACAUAGAAAUUACAGCUAGAGUAUUUAUAAACCAGCAAAAGAAUUUGAUAGUGAUUGAAGAACUGCAGCAUUAGUAAAUAGGGGCACACAGGUCAAAAAUGAAAGGGUCAGCUGCGAUAAAUGUCUAAAUUCAAGUGCCACAGGUAUUUUAAAAGAGUCUUGAGGAAGGUGUCUUGCAACCUUGAACAGCUAAAAAUGUACCUCAAUAAGACACGCCACUUUAAUUUAGUUGAAACCACUGCCAAUUUUUGUGUGUAUAGAUUUUCUUAAUUACAUUGUUGUGCAAAAUAACCUGUAAUCCAGCUCACAUCUGGUUUUCUAUAGCCUUUAGGUAUAACUCACCUUGUAUUAUCUUUGCUCUUCAGGUGAAUUAUUUGCAAAUAUUUUGGCACAAAUCAACAUGAAUCAUAACUUGAAUGAGAGGUGAAGUUACACAGACAAUGACAUCUUGAAAGCAUUUUCUUCUAAUCAAGUCCGAAAUUAACUUUGAUAUGUCACACUUUGGUAUCAUAACAAUUCAUAUUACCAGUCACUAUCAUUAUAAUUUAGUCCUCUUUCAUUUUCCAUGUGAUGUUGACAUUAUAAAUAUGUCUACACAUUAGAGUCAUUCAAGGGCUACUCACAAAUCUAUAUAAGCACAAGAUCAGUAGGUCUUUUGAAAUUGUAGUGCACUUCAAAUUUCAACUCGCUUCCAAGCUGAGAACUUACUGAAUUAAAAUUAUGGGCUAUUCAAAUUCUUUGCUGGCCACAUUCUUUUUUCUUUGCUUAGAGCUUUAUGUGAUUAAUGGGCAGCCUCUAGUUCCUGCAAUGUUCAUAUUUGGGGACUCUGUUGUUGAUGCAGGCAAUAACAACUACAUUUACACAAUUGUUAAAGCAAACUUUCGUCCUUACGGCAGAGACUUUGUUCAUCACAAACCAACUGGGAGGUUCUGCAACGGAAAGCUAGCCGCAGACUUUACCGGUACACUACUCUUGACGAUCUUUUCUUUACAACCCAUCUCAUUUUUUGAUUCUCUAAAGGUGCUUGCACUUCUUAUUUUGUCAAAAACAGCUGAAAACAUAGGCUUCACUUCAUAUCCUCCGGCUUAUCUUAGUGAAGAAGCCAAAGGAAAAAACCUAUUGAUUGGUGCCAACUUUGCUUCUGGUGCCUCUGGUUACUAUGAAACCACAGCAAAGCUAUAUGUAAGAACAAGUGACAAUCAUAUCCGAAAUCUCUCUCUUUUUCUCUCUAUAUAUAGUUUUUUUAAUAUGUUCUUCUGAUUUUGGUGCUUGUAGCAUGCAAUCCCAUUGAGUCAGCAGCUUGAGCACUUCAAAGAUUAUCAAAGAAAAUUGGAGGGCAUUGCAGGAAAAACCAAUGCUUCAUCAAUCUUAUCUGGCGGACUUUGUCUUGUUAGCUCUGGAAGCAGUGACUUUAUUCAGAAUUAUUACAUUAAUCCCCUCCUUUACAAAGUCUACACGCCUGAUCAAUUUUCAGACAUUCUCAUAGAAUCCUUUUCAGCUUUUGUUCAGGUCUCUCCUUCUCAAAAUCUCCAUUACUUUGCUAUUUAAUCUCAAAUCUAUAUUUUAAAACGUGUCAAUGCCUGCAUUAGAGAAUGAUUAAUAGAGCAUAGCUAAAAUUACAUUUUGCGACAGAAACUGUACGGGCUAGGAGUGAGGAAGAUUGGAGUGUCAACGUUGCCACCACUAGGCUGUCUGCCGGCAACCAUCACAGUUUUUGGCUCCGAUAGCAAUGAGUGCGUGGAUAAGAUAAAUGGCGAUGCAGUUUCAUUCAACAACAAGCUGAAUGCCACAUCUCAAAGCUUGGUGAACAAGCUUUCUGGCCUCAACUUGGUAGUCCUAGACAUUUAUCAACCACUUCAUGACCUUGUCACGAAGCCUUCUGAAAAUGGUAACAAUAAAUUCUCGCAUUUCAUUACAAUCAUAAGUUUCCAUUAAAACUUUUUCGAGGGAUGUGAUCUCAUUUGAUGUCCAAUGUGAGUGUUGCAGGAUUUGUUGAGGCGCGAAGGGCUUGUUGCGGUACCGGGCUGCUGGAAACUUCAAUCUUGUGCAACAAGAAAUCGAUUGGAACAUGUGCUAAUGCUUCGGAAUACGUGUUCUGGGAUGGCUUUCAUCCAACUGAGGCUGCUAACAAGAUUUUGGCGGAUGAUUUGCUCAGCAGCGGCAUAUCUCUUAUUUCUUGAAUGCAUAAAAUUAUUAUAUGCGAGAUUCAAAUUUUAUAUUUGUGAUUUGUAAUUCGUAAUCUACUAUAUCUGCUGUUUUAAUUUCUGAAGUAUACGAGUAUGCUGCUAUAUAAGAAUGCCGAUGCUACCUCUUUAUUUAUUUGUUUAUGGUGAUGUAAUUUUGUCUAUCAAUAAGAUUUGAUUAGUCAGUUUACAAUUUACAUGUCAGCAUAUGUUUAUAUUAUAUUACACCUUGUUCCAUUCCAAAAAAUAAAUAAAUAAAUAAAUAAAACUUGUUUAACAUGAUUUUCUUAAAAUCUUUCAAUGAAAAAUGAAAAACAACCAAUUAUUUUUCAAAGAAUUGUAAAUAAUUACUGCAUAAAUUUCCUUAAUCUUGUUAUAUAAUUAUUUUUAAAAUUAAAAUUUAUAUUAAGUGGUGAGCACUUUCUCGGCUUCUCGUCUCAAUCAUUGAGAAUUUAGAAGACUUUAUAAAGUAUAAUGUAAUUGAAAAAGAAAUAAAUAAUUUAAGUAUGAUAAUACAAUUAUAAAUUUUUGUACAAAUUUAUUUUAUAUAAUUUUAUUUAAUAUUAAUUUAUUAGUUGAAUAAAAAAAAUAAUCAAAACAAAUUAUGUAGAAUAAUGAAUUUUUAAUUCAAGUAAUUUAAUCAUGCCACAUAAUUUUUGUAAAAAAAAAUUAUCUAAGAAUUUAUAUUUAUAUUAUUAUUCAUAUUUAAAUAUAAAAAAUAAAUUAUAUCUUACAAAUUUGUAUUGGUUAUUUUCAUUUUUAGAUUAUUGCUUAAAAACAUUCCCCCUGUGACAUUUUCAUUUUGAAAAACAAGUUCGAACAUACAGAGCCACCCGCCCGCCCUAACUUUAAAAACUUGUCUAAUUGUCUUUAAAAUUUAUAAUCUUACUGAUUGGGACAGAAAGAGGGAAAAUAAUUUUGAAAAAUGGAUUACAGUCUAGGAGCACUGAAGCUGCUAUGCGUCCAAUUGAAGGACGCUCGCGAGUCUCCUUCACAAAACGCCGUCACUCUCGGCGGCAUUCUCUUUCAAAGAGUCUGGCUGCAGGGCGUUUUAGUCUCGCCACCGGACGAUGACGGCAGGCUGCUUCUCGACGAUGGCACCGGCGUCGUUCAGAUAUAUCUCUCCGGCGACUUCCGAAUCCGUCAAUGGAACACAGGUUUUUUCUUUAAUUUUUCUUUUUUGAUUUUUAUACAACAAAAUAAUUAUGACACGCGCAUUCUUGAAUUUUGUGAAAGAGAGUGGCGGCGCAUUUUAGCAAAUUUUGGUUUCCGUAUUGCAGGGAUGUAUGUGACGGUGGUUGGCGGGUUUGUUAUCCGUACAGAUGACAUCCCUGUUAUUAAGGUAAAUUCCCACAUCUCACUUCACACUAUUUUGAUUAAUUUUGGUUUGAAAUUCGAUAUUAGUUUUGGUUCGGUUUAAUUUGAACUAGGGUGGAUUAGAAGGGGAAAAAAUAAUAGUAGCCUUUAUUUUCUAAAUUUGAAUAGGAUGUAAUUUUAUUUUUUUAAUAUUUAAAUAUAAGUGAUUUUUUUAUAUAAAUAAAAAAUUCUUUAAACAUAAUUAUUUGAUAUUUAUAUUUUUAAAAGUCGAAACAAAUAAAAAAAUUACGUCUUAUAGUUUAAAAAAUAAAUAUAUGUAAUAGAGAUAUUUUAUGAUAUAAUACCUACUUCUUAUUCAAUUUUUUUUCAUUUAAAUAAAAAUUACAAAAAUAUACAUUUUCUAUUAAAAUAGGAAUUUUUAACAAUCAAAUAUAACUUACAAAAACAAACUAGCCCUAAAUUGAUUGGAAAUUAAAAAAAAAAAAAAAAAAACAAAUGUCUAAUUGAAUCAUAUCGAUUCACAGGUUUAGAUCGCUUCAACUUUCACUACAUCGAUUGGAUUUGGUUCGAUUCAUUUUUCUAAUUUUUUUUUUUUAAUAACUCAAACUCCUGCACCGACUCACUAUCGGUCCACCCUGGCCAUUUUACCAUUUGAAUAACAGAUCAACUCUUUGAAACAUACUCGUUAAUGUACAUUUAUCAUGCAUGCGUGAAUUGAUUGAAGUGAGAUUAACAAGUACUGAUUGUUUUGUAACUUCAGGUACACAAGAUUGUUGAUCUUUCAGCAUUCCCUGAUAGAGAAGCAAUGUGGUACCUUGAAGUUAUGGAGGCUUACAAGCUGUUCUAUCAACCUCUCAUUGAGGAUUUUGUGUAACUUCAACUUUAGAGUUCAUUCACUUCUGCAUCAUCUGUUUGUAUCCAACUCCACAAAUUUUAGUAAAUGAAAAUGCCUACUAAAUAGUUCCUCUCACUAUUCUUUGUAUUUCUUUUGUAAAUCUUUUCAACAUGUUCAUUUCAAAUUUUGAUCAAAGUUCUGGUUGCAAUUAUAUUAUUCUCUAUUGACAAUAAUCAUAGGUUUACAAGAAAGAGCAUAGCUUGAAAAUAGACACCAUGUAUUAACAAGAUCUACCUGAUGGAUGAACCCUACAUCUCUGAUAGAGAGAAGUCCAAAAAUUCUUCUCAAAAGUUCCAAAUUUUGGCUUCAGAUAGAAUAACCUGGUCAACCAGCAUCUGAAGAGCCAAGCAGACGAGCGGAGUUUUUAUCAAAAAGAUCAUGAUUCCAGUCCUCAUCCUUUUUUCACCUUCUACACUAUUCUAUCAAAACUACAUGCGUGCUGCCAAAGCUAAUUCAUAUUACAAGUGAGACAAUGAUUUUAAAUUAAUCCGAAGGAGAUUAAAUGUAUUCAUUUGAAAUAUCCAAUUGUUCACAUACAGCUAUCUUCUUUCCAUACAUUACAAAAUUUCCACAUGCCAAACACACUGCCGUCACGUCACUCGCCUGUUCUGACAAUAUGUAACUUCUUGCUAGACUUCCAAGUAAAAAUCACCACAAGAAGAAUUCAUAAGCUGAACAUAUCUUGCCACCACCCCUAUCCCACCCUUUUUCUUUUCUGCAAAAACACACAAAAACCAUUACACAUCAAGCAUCAAAACAUGUUGCACAAAAUAUGCUUUUCCAGCUUCCACAAAGACCAUCAAACUGUCUUCAAUUUGCACUUGGCUACAGGGGUUUUGUUAGCAGUCAUUCAAAUAUUGUGCAUGGACUCCAAAAUCCACCAAUGGUGCAAGAGACAUAAAUAAGGUCACCUUUAAUAUCCACAGAUUAUACAUUUCUGACAGCAAUGCUCUCUUCUACUCUCAGCUGUGAUUUCAGAUUGUGAAAUGCGUGGGAGAUUUUUAUUUUACGAUAAGUAUACUCAACAUCAGUAUAUAACAACUGAUGGCGAAUCAAUCUCCGGAAUAUGAUCUACCAACCGAUCUGUUACAAAGAAAGAAAAUAACAGAAUUAAGACUUGAAACGAGGAGAGCUCGGAAGGAGAAAGAAUUGGAACAGAAAAUAUAAUCUAGAGAGUACAGAGAGAACUGCUAUUUUUGCAAUUAUUCUCUGCUCUUAGCAGGCAAAACAUGAUGCCUAUCUAGUAUAUAGCCUAGUCCUGAUAGAAAAAGAAACCCAAAUCCACUCUAAAAUAAGUUGUAUACUUUUACCAAGUAAAAUAAACCUAAACCAACCCUAAAAAUCUGAGUUUCUAAAUAAUCAAAUCUUUAAAACAAAUAAAAACAGAUGAGCAUUUUUUCUAAAACCUCUGCGAAAGACAUCUCAGUUAUACAAAUUACACUGAAAAGACUGAAAGUAAGAAAAAGAAGACAUCACUAGUGCAGGCAUUGCUAGUAAAAUAACUUAGUUUAUAUAGUUAUUCAACCAUGCAAAAACUCUCCUAGUUUCCAUGAAUAAAUCUUCUAUUGCCCAUGAGGAGCUAACUAAAUGGCUAAACCCAUGAUUUGCUGAGCCAAGAAAAGCCCAGACAUCUAGACUGCGUUAUAACAGGAAUAAGCAAAUCCAAGCCAGAUCUUGGUGACUACCUGACUAAAAAAUAGUAAAAAAUAGCCAUAUCCAUAUUCCAAAAAUAUAAGGACAUUAAUUAAGAGAAAGAUAUUCGUGAAGAGGAAAAAUAAAAUGCUGUUGAAUGACGCACAGCAUUUAAAGACUUUUGAAGCACAUCUAUUCAGAAAAGGAUCUUACUCAAUAUACUUAUGACAACAAUCCAACAAUCUGCCAACAUUUGUAUCAUCUGCAAGAUGAUCUUCCAUUGAAUCAUUUUCUUCAACACAAUCCUUUGAAGUAGUCCACUUAUUUACGAUACUGAUUAUUCUUAUUAUCUGUUGCAAAGGUAAAGGGAUACAAAAACAUGGCAAUAGAUGGUCCUUACAAAGAAAAACUAUAUUAACCUAACCAAUUCAAGGUAAGUCAACUUCUUGUUUCCUACCAUCUUUUAAAGUAAUAAUAUUCAAGUCUUAAAAAUAAAAUAAAAUGCGAGGUAUGCCAAGGUUUCAACUUUCAUAACCAUGAUUAGAGCAUUGUUACUGGAUAAACUAACAUGUAAGAGAGGAUACAGCUGUCACUCUAGCACUUCUUUUAAAGCCGCAAGGGAUACAGUGACUAGUCUCAUCUAAUUGGUGAUCAAGAAGAUCAUCUUCAAUCAUAUCCGAAGAACUCACUAAAACUGAUACAUACUGAUGCAAGCUUAACGGUCUCAUCUUAUCUUCCUGAACUUUUACCAAUAGCCUCGCUACAAUGCUCCAGAGUGCACUCCGUGCUUCCAGAUCAUCUGAAGCAAAAGGAAUCAUCUCGAGCAGACCCUGUAUGAAAGGCAGAUCUGGACAGGUGCAAAGGAUCACUUCUAAAACUAUGAUACAUGUAUGCAAAAGAUCACUGCAUAGUAAUUUUACUAAUAAGUGCAGAAACAACUUACCCUGUGAUAUUUCUGAAGCUAAAGCAUCUAUAUCAGACAAAAUAUUAGCCAGUACAACUACAGCAGUAACACAAGAAUUGGCAACCUGCAGAAAACGUUACCAUCAAUGUUUGUGGUUGGUUGAUUACCAUCCUAGCUUAUUUGUCAAUGCCAAAAACAAAAGAAGCAGCAGAACCAUUAACCAUAGGUGUAGCAUAAUUCUGUCUAUCAGACUGGCAGUUUGCUAUUUUUGUUCAGUUUACUUACCAUAUUAAAAAUAUAGCUUCUUCAGAACUUUCUAGCAUCUAAAUUGUUAUGGUACUCAGUUAUCAGUUUUUUUUUUUUUUAAUAAUCUCCUCUCCCCCCCCAAAAAAAAAAAAAAGAAAAGAGAAAAAAACAUGCACCUCAACCCAUCUCACCCAAGAAGGCCAAACCACUGGACUAUUCCCUUGUGGACCAAUUAUCACCCAAUUAAGAUUUUAAGUAACUCGACAAAUUAUGCACUGUUACAAAUUAGAAACAAAAGAAGAAACAGCACAACAUAUGCACUUUGUACCACAGCAUUUCCAUUUCUCAGCAGGCUGCUACGUACCUCAACUUUAUCGGGGAAUUUGACCAGGUCAGAAACUAAGUGAAGAAGUUUCUCAUUUGAAGUGAUUUCUUGAGAAUAACUGUCUAAAACAGAAAGCGCUUCAAUAGAACAAAGAAUGACCUCAAGAGCAGAGUACCUAAAAAUACAGAUAAAUAGAGCAUCUUAUGAAAAAGAUCGUACAAGUAAUUACUAGUUUCUAGAAUGAAAAAUAAAUUAUUAGAACUUGACAUUUUUAAGAUAUCACAGUGGGGCAAAGGCAACAAAAACACAUAUGGUUAUCAAGUGCAUAUGGAAGCAUGAAAUCAUAGAACUCAUAUGAUCAAGCAUUCCUAUUAUGUUAAUUUUCAGUGUCAUAUAACAUAAGUGGCAGAAGCAAGACACAACUCUAAAAAAUAUUCACAUACCAGCCACUGGAUCAAUCCAUGAACCUAAGGCAUUUGAUUAUCAAUCUAUCUCAAAAUUCGAAGUCCAAAACCACCAACCAUCUGUGUAUAAGGAUUUGAGAGUAUGCUAUCUAAGAGAGUUUAGGGUCAUCAACUGGAUCAAUCCAUGAACCUAAGGCAUUUGAUUAUCAAUCUAUCUCAAAAUUCGAAGUCCAAAACCACCAACCAUCUGUGUAUAAGGAUUUGAGAGUAUGCUAUCUAAGAGAGUUUAGGGUCAUCAACUGAUGGUCAGGUUAUUUCAAUAAAACCUUUUCGACAAGUACUGACCCUUUUCAGUACAUAAUGAUUUGUUCUAGGUGAAAUUUCACAUCCAUAAUGACUUCGUUCUUUUGGCAGUAAAUUGCAGGAUCUUUAUGCUAAAACUUGACGUAUGAAGUUAACAUAAAAUAAAGGUUUUGUAACAUCAGUUUUGACCUCAACUAGUGUAAUUUUAAUGUCCAUCCAAAAGUAAUAUCAACAAGCAUCAAUUAAAUCAUUUCUACUCAAAUGAAAAUGGAAGGCAAAAUGCAAGCUCAUGUCAACAUGUAAACACAAAAAGAAAAAUAUGGUAAGAGUGGAAUAAUUUUACAAACAACAAUAAGAUAUACCCCCCCCCCCCCCCCCCCCCCAAAGAAAAAAACAGCAAAUAUCUUCAACUUUGUCGUAACAUUGAAAUUAUCUACAAACAGUUUUACUAGAAUUGAAGUAAGCUUAUACCUUUCAGGUAUUCUUUCGCACAGUAGUUUGUUCAUUUCAAAGGCCAAUAGAUCAAUCAAAAUACUCGGUAAACCCAGCUUCAUCAAAGGUGGGUGAAGAGCACGUGCAACUUCUGAUGGACUCUCUAAGAUGGCCAAUAACAGCCCAACAUUCUGUUCAACAUACAAAACUACUUUAAUUUGGAACUAGGAUAAAAGUGAAACAACAAUCCCACCUGGAAAAAUAAAUACAGUAUAGAGUCUGAAGUAACGAUAUUUUCCAACAUGUAAUGAGUUUGUUUAACCAUCUUUGGUAUUGAUAAUAAAAGAACCAAAUAUGAGUUAUUAAUGCCAAUAAGCUACUAACCACAACAUUUGAUUCAGUCAAGCUUAAGUUUGAAGCAGUCCCCCCCCCAAAAAAAAAAAAUCUCUUGGUAAUUUGCUGCAUUUGGUAUUUAGAUAGAACAUAAUUUUCUAUGUUGUGAAUAAUUUCUAUAAUCUCAUCUAUACAAAAGUCAAAAGUUCUAUUUAGAAGUCUUCCUUAUUACCUUUUUCUGCAGUCAAAAUUUCUAUUGGGAAAUCUUCUCUUAAAAUUGGAGAUUUCCAAUCAAAAGGAUACAAUAUUAGGGACAUAGUUUCACGUCAAAAGAAAAAAAAAAAAAAAAAGGAAAAUCAUGUGAGGCAAACAUUGACACAAAAUCAACAUAAAAUGCUACUACAUAUCAGAAUAUGUGAAACUUUAAGAUUUUAGUAACAGGACCAGGAUAACUAAAGAAAACUUGCACAAGCGCUCAUACACACAUACAUGCACAUUUAAAAUUGCUUUUUGUGUUUCUGUUGUAUUUGUAUGCAUAUAAAUUUUGAUACUUUACCAGAUUCUGACACAUAAGAAAAUACAGCACAAAAGCUCUUUUGCCACCUUUUCUAAAAGUUGCGGACUUAAAGUAUUCUCUGCAAUCCACAAAACACGCUGCAAGAUAUGUUCAGAUUGCAAUUUCUCUGCCCAAAUAAUACAUUCACUGCCUUGAAGACACAAAGUUAGCAGCCUGUAUCGGAAAAGCAUUUGUCAGAGAAGUAUGCAACAUUGGACAUGUAGAGUAAAAUACAUGAGUGCAACCACUGUCAAGGUAGGUGAUGUGCAUCUGAUAGAAAAUGUUACCAUUGAGUUCAUGAUAAAGGCACAACCACCAUGAAACUAAACAAAUAAGAAUGGAACAUAAGAUAGGAGAGUCACGCUGCCUCUUCCUAGGGAACAAGAUGAAAAUGAAAAGGAAAAUACAAUGCAAAAGAAGAAAAAAAUGCCAUAUCCUUUUGAUUGUGGCAUGUACAUUUAUGGCCCAAGAGAAGCAUUUGUGACUAGAUUAUUUCAACAUCCAGAUUUGACUGGUCCAUCUUGCAUCCAGUAGAAAGAGGAAUCAAAGAAAAGACUGACUAGGAAAUCUCAUCCUCAAAAGCAACAAAAAUAAGACACCGGAAAGCAAUGGCAGGAAAAAACAGCAUGCAAGAAAGGCAAGCUGGCUGUAAGGUACACAUUCAACAGGACAGAAAUGGAAAAUAAGUAUAACUCCAUAUGAAUAACAAAAAAUAAUGUGUUUAUCGGCAAGCAUUACCAAUAAUUAGGAUACAAAAAGGUGGUGACACUAAAAAUUCACAUUUCCAAAGGUUGGAAGGAAUCAAUAGUUUAAAACUCAUACAUUACCGGCAAGCUUCAAUUAGGCAUUGGGUAUCAUCUAAAAACAGCUGGUCCACAAUUAUUUCAAUCAGUCCUUGUGUAGAGGCAAUACGUUGCAUGAGAACUUCGUGGCACGCUAGGUUUCCAAUAAUUCCAAGUAUAAUCUCCUGGAUCAAAAAAGAAAAAAAGGCAUAUCAUGCAACAAUCCAUUACUUAAGGCACUUAAAUAGUAAAAAUAAAUAAGUACAUAAAGAAUUAUUUUACUUAUUGUGCAGAAGUAUUUCAAGAGAUAAAAGGAAAAUGUGUCAUACCGCUAGACGAACAGUUUGGGGAAUCAUAAGGUUUGCCAAAAGCACUUCGAGGACUAAGUUUUCCACCUACAUAGUCCAGCAAAUAAAUUAUAUAUGCAGGUUGUGGUAACAAUAGAUGCAAGGGGCAUCUUAUGGUCAGAAUUAACAACAACUACAGCUUUGAAGUCAGCUUCAUCCAACAUCAUUUUCCCCCAAGCAAGUGUUAUUCUUUCUAGUGGCUCAUAUCUUAAAUAUUAAUGACUUUCAGGUGCAUGCACAAGUCAAUGGUAGACAGGAAGUUGGGCAUACACUCAAUAUGAUGAAGUACCAUGCAGCAAAAAAAUUUAAUAUAGAUCACCAAUUUCUUUUCAAAAAGAAAAGAUGACAACCAAUCAUUUUCAGAUAUUUCAAAGCAUGAAUCAAAGAUUCCAAAGGUUCUAGAGAAAUUAUAGUUGUAUUGUACUGCAAUUAAUUAGUUCCGUGAAGUCUGAAUUUUAUUUUCUACAUCCAACUUAUUUUAAAACCUCCUAAUAUCAUAGAAAUAUAGUCAUUGUUACUUGAUGUGCAAUUAAGAUCAAAAUGAACCACAUGCAACAUUAAUAAAAAGUAUACAUAACGUUAGCACAAAUACCAUGAGUUCUGCAUGAUUUCUGCUUGCAGCAAGAUCCCACAAAACACAACCAUACUCUUCCCAAACUUCUUCUCCGGCUGAUACACCAGGCUUUUCAACUUUGCGGCACAAAUUUUCAUCAUCUCCAUCUUGAUAAGGAGACUUUUCAAAGCCAUUAACAACAUCCAUGGCCUCUGAAUUAUGACCUGGGGAACCUCGAACUCUAUCUUUCGGUGAAGAGCUUGCACUUUCUUCUAUCAGAUCAAUCUUCGACCCCUCAUUUGGACCAUUGUCACCAUCAACACCACAAGAGUUGUGGUCAUUCUUCACAUUGGUUGGAAGAAGUUUACGAAUCAACGAGAUAAUGUAACUCGGAUCAACAGAUGUCAGAAUGUCAAAUAACUGAAAAAAAAAGAAGAAAAAAUUGGAAGCUAUCGCAUUAACAUCUGAAUCGUUCAACAACACUGCCAAAAAUUCCUUUCAAGCCUAAAUACAUAAAUUUCAACUAUAUAUUUCCAAUUCCACCCAAAAAAAAAAAAAAAAGACUCAAUAUAGCCAAUUCAUUUCGGCCACAUAAAGUUGGAUUGGACUAACAAAUUCUUCUACAAAAGCAUCAUAACCAUAAUCUAUCAAUCAAUUCUAAUAGUAAAACGACAAGCAAACUAAAACCCCAGAUUUCAAGAAUUUAUGCACAAUGUACACUAAAAUAGAUAAAGGAGAUUUGUGGAUAGUAGUUCGCAGACAGUAACGGAAAAGGAAAACAAUCAAGUGAAAUCAGAACCGUUAAUUGAAACCUCAUCAGGCGGUGCAGGCGGAUGAUGUGAAGGUCCAUGAUGGUCUUCUCCUGCUUGUUCUUCUUCUUCUUUGUCUUCGAACGUCAUAAUCGCUGUGUUUUCUUUCAAAGAGAAAUCUAGAGCGUCGAUCGAAGAAUUUGCUUGGUUUCCCUUCUUAACUUCAAAAAAUUUCCCUCUAUUUAAUGAAUCGAACACACCCCUCUAUUUCCUCUCUUACAAAUUUCUCGGCCUCUCCAAGUUAAGUAGUUGAUGAAGUCUCCAAAAUUACCAGGACAUCCCUCGUUUUUCUUGAAUUUGCAUAAGUUCCUCUCUUGUAACUUUUUUAUUUUUGAAAUCUCCUGUCUUACCCUGCCUAUUACUAUUAGGAAAAUCAAAGUUCUAAUUUCUCAUAAUAGAAGAGAAAUUAAGUCCCAAUACUAACUUUUUAUUAGUGGCAGGGCUCAAAUCUACGCCCCUCAACUUUUAGAAUGCAGGUUCACUUUUUAAGUUAUAAAGUCCAUCGGUCUCUUAUAACUAGUUAUACAUAUAAGAAUAAAAGCUAGACAUUUAAAAAUGAACAUAAUUCCAAAAAAUAACUACAAUAUUCAUUAGGAGUGGGUAUUUGGAUCGAGUUAACCUAUACUAAAUCGAAUUCGAAAUUUAUUCUAGAUUUGGUUUAAUCUAGAAACUUUGAAAUUGUUUGAAUUUAAAACUCAAAACCGAUCUAGUUUUAAACCGAAUAUUCAACCUAAUCGGGUUAACUAAACAAACUUAAAAAUAUCCCAAGAAAAAAAAAUUCAUAUAAAUUAUAGGGUUUUCAUCUUCUUCUUUGGUUUAGUUUGAUUCAGGUAACAUAUUUAGGUUUAAUUUUGAGAAAAGAAUUGAAAUCUUAAAAUUAAAUAGAUUGUAACCCAAACCAAAACGCAAAACAUCCGAGUCAAAGCUUGAUUUGCCCACCCUUAAUUUUCAUGGAACUGAAACUUCUUUCAACACUAAAAUAAAUCCAUUUUUUUGUCUAAAAUAAAGGAGUUGUUUUGCAUUAUAUAUAUAUCUACUACUUUCUUUUUAUGCAUGUGAAGAGUUUGAACUUACAUGUGUGACCCUUAGGUACUGUUUUAUUCUUUUAUUGAUAAUACAAAGAUUUUAACUUAAAUUUUGAUAUCAGGUGUGGCUCAUUAUGAAUGUAAAAUUAUUUAUUAUUAUAUUUAAUAGCCAAUAAACAAUUGACACAUAUAUUCGGAGUCAAAUAUUAGGAUACUUAGCGUUAUAGGAUAAUAAUAUUUGAGGAAGUUUGAAGGAAUAAAAAUUGUAUUUUUAGAUAAAUUAUAUUUCUUAUAACAUAAAGUGGUCAAGUCUCGAUGGUUAGAUUGGGACUUUCUUUCCAAUAUAUAUACAGGACGCGUGAUUGUUAAUUUCAUGCAAAGAUCCCUUUAUGGAUUUCAGAGAUGAAUCAAAUCAUUCGCUUCUUCUUCCCACGAAGCUUUCUUUGGAUCGGACUGAGAUGAUUAAAACGGUAACCAAUCUUUUCUUUUUGCAUGAAUUAGUUUGAUUUUUCUUUUGUUUUUUUGGUUUAAAAAUUACUUAAAUCACAGUUCGUAACUACUGCUAUGGCUAUGCUGAGUUUGGCUUUGGCCGUCUUGGGAGCUCUAAUCGACACAACCAAGGCUACUCUUCGAAAGAAGGUUAUUAUUGGAGUAUUAAUUGUUUCUGAUCAUGACGAUUUGUGCUACAUUACUCUUGUUUCUACUCUUGAAGUCAAAAUGGGAGAAGUAUUUUAACUACUUGCAAGAGUCAGGUAAUUGUUAUCUGCGGUUCCAAGGCAUGUAUCAUCACUCUGUAAAUGGAGAGUUGAUCUUUUGGUUGCGUAUCUUAUUCUAGUCUUUUAUCCUUUUGUGCAGAUGUCGUAUAAAGCUUCUCACGUUGUAUGGCAAUGUAAAGCUUUCUUGAUUAGCUUUCUGGUUCCCUACAUUGCCACUGCCCUCGUCUAUGAAGAAUAUAUAGGUGUUAAAGACAAAUAUUCUCGUAUUUAGAGAGUACAUAAAGAUGAGAACGUUCAUUCUUGGCAUUGGGAUCCUCCACGGACUUUUAGUUUCUUUUCUGCAAUUUCCAAUUUAUUUGAUUCGUGCUCAGGAGGAUCUUGAUUGCUAGCUAACUUUUUACUGUUGCAUUUUUUUAGAAAAUAAUUUUUAUUUUUCUGUCGUAUUUCAUUCUCUUCGGAAUUCUUGUUGAAUUCUAUUAUCUCAAAUAACCUAUUAAGUUGGUUAACCUUGUUAUCCAAUAUUAUCCUAAUAUUUGAGCCUCAACUUAAAUAUUAAUAGUAUGUGUAACUCAUUUAUUAUGAGUUUUAUGUUGUAUUUCUUCUCUUUAGAAUUCGUGUUGAAUUAUAUUUGAAAUAACCUAUAAUAUAGGUUAAAUUUGUUAUCCAACAUGAUCCCAACAUUUGAACCUCAACUUGAAUUUUAAUAUUAUGUAUAAUUCAUCUGUUUAAUGAUAAAUAUAAGUCAAAUAUUGAGAUCGACACUACAAGAAAAAUAAUUUUUACUGACACUUGUUUUGUAACACUUUAUUAAAAAGUAUCAGUAAUUACAUAUAUUUAGGUCAUUUUCUGUGUUUAAUAGAUAAAUAUCACAAAUUACUAAUUUUAUGGUGUAAGUAGAUUAAGCAUCAGAGAUUGUUGACCCUAAACUAUUAGUAACCGAAAAAAAAAUCAAUUUUUGUUGUCAUUGCUACUCGAACCCAAGAAAUCAAAACUGUGGUUUUUUUAUGUUCAAACAAUAAACCAUCAAGCCAAACAAAUUGUUUAUUAUUUGAUUAAAAUAUUAUAUUAAAUUAAUAUAAAAAAACAACAAUAUAAAAGUAAAAAGAAACCCUAACAUCAACAUAAACCUAAAAUCUCUAACUUGUAAUUUUAGGCUCAGCCGCCUCAUCUCUUAACCAUCUCUUAACCAUCUCUUUCUUCUUCAUACCUCUAGAGAAUCUCUCCUUGGACUCUCAAAUUCAAGAUGUCAUAUGAAACCCUAACACCAUCGCUCAAAUUCUAAGAAUCGUACCAUACGAAACCCUAAUGAGCUACAUUGUGUUACAAAAUAUCCACCAUGUUGCUCCGCCAAAAGCUAUGAAAACUCUCUUUAGAUCUCCACCUUUUGCUCUGAUGACCACCGUGCUCGAGUGUGCACUGCUCAUCGCACUUCGGUCUUUGAAUUUAUUGGCAGGUAAAAUUUCAUCUUAUUUCAUUAAUUCAAUCUUCGACUGUUUCGACUGUCAUAAAUCUACCAAAUUAAAAGGAUUACAGUUAGAUCAUUUAUAUUCACCAACUUGGCAACUACUUCUUCUUCUCUCUUUCUAAUCUCUUCCCUAUUGGAAAUUUGUUGCAUCAUUCACUCCUCAUUGGAGAGAAAAAAAGGAGAGGGAGGGGUUGUGAUUGUGGUUGUGGCUGUGGCUUUGGGAACUGUAAAUUGCGAACUGUUCGGGAUUAUCUCAUCUAAUAAGAGAAAGACAAAAAUUUUUAUUGCGAACUGUUGGGGAUUAUCUCAUCUAAUAAGAGAAAGACAAAAAUUUUAAAAAAUUUAAAAUAAUGGAUGAGGUGACUACAGUAGGAGAUGCAACGUUGUUGAGGAGUGGUCAAGCAACAUCGUUCUUGGAUUCUCCUCCAUCAUUGUCGUGGUUGUUCUUCCCUAAAAACCUCCCUCUAAUCUAUACUUUUCUCACCUUUGCUCUUGCUUAGUUCCUUUAGAUCUUCAUCCUGUCCAUUUAGUUAUCUCCAUUUUCAUUGUAAUGUUUUCCACCAUUUCUCUUUAUUUGAUUGGUUACAUAUUGCAAAAUUUGUUGAUUUGAUAUUUUGUCUGCAUAAAAAAUCAAUUUUUAAAUAAAAAAUUAGAUUGACCUUUUCAUUAGGGGUUGGCGCUGCAAAAUGCCCGCUUUUUUCAUUGUGAUUAACCUUUAAUUCAAAGAAUUAAGGAGUUGUUCUUUUGAAAUAUAAUAUCUCAGUUAUUUUGUAUGUUUUCUGCUAGAUACUCAAGUAUAAAGAAAAGAGAUGGGAUUCUAAAAGGAUGCUUAAUUCAGGUGGAAUGCCUUGGUCCCAUUUUGCUACUGUGUCGGCUCUAACAGUAGCUAUUGGUCUUUAAGAGGGGCCAUGAAGUUCACCUUUUACCAUUGCAGUGGUCUUGGCUUGCAUUGUAUGUUCUUUCCUAACUUUAUUGGUUGUCUCUUAUGGACACGUGUGUAGUAGUGCGUGUGUGUGAGUGAAUGUAUAUAUGAUCAUCAAUUUCAAUAAAACAUGCAUUAUAUAUGAUAAUUUUUCAGCUUAUUGAAUAAUUACUUCUUAGUCUUGACUUCCUUUCUCUAUUUUUUGUUCCUUUUUCUUUUCAGGAAAAAUAUACACAUUAUCUUAUAUUCAUCUGCCAUGUGCAAACUAAGAUAGCCUAACACGAGGUUAAAGCGUUAACUUGUGAUUUUUAUUUAUGAAUAUAGUGAUAUUUUUGGUAAAAAUGUAUUAAGAUUAAUGAUAUAAGACAUUUGUUUGUAAUGUCUAGGUUUGUGAAUUCAAAGGGAGUGGAAUUAUAUAAAUUAAAGAUUGCCUUAGAAAGAUAGAUAAUAUGCAGAGUUUUAAGAGGUACAUCUCUUAAUUGCCUUGAACUCUAUAUUUAUUCUAUAUUAUCUGUUUCUUCUAGCCACUAAUUACUUUGGUUUAGGUGCUACACCUUCCAAUAAUACUUGUGAUUUCAAUUGUGAAUAUUCUGGAUUAGUAGCUCCUUCAAUAUAAUGGCUGAAAUGUUUUAUUAUUUUAGUAGAGUUAUUUGGAAUGAGUUGACACUAAUUGCAUUAUGCAGAAAGUGUGUAAUUAUCAAGAGUUAAAUGUUUUACUCUCAUACUUAGGCUUGGUGGCUAAAAGACAUAAUUGCAAGCCUUUUUUUUAAACAAUAUACUAUGUUGUGUUAAGAUAUUAAAUUUUAUUAUGAAUUUUUUUUUAGCUGGAAAAUCAUUGUUUUUUAUAUAAUGAGAAAUAAACACACUUUCUUGAAACUAGAUGUUAUACUAAAAACUUGAAUGCUAUAAUUUGCUCUCUCACUCUCAUUCAUAUAUAUAAAAGAAUGAAUUCAUCAUCACCUUUUUUUUAAUUUAUUUCUAUAGUUAAAUAUUUUCUACCUUAUUUCUAAUCAAAUUAGCUACAACAUUCUUGUUCUCUAAUUUUCCUUUAAGAUAAUUGAGUUUAUCUAUUCAUAACUUAUGAAUAUUUUUACUUUCGAGCAAAAUAUGUUUAUUUAUAUUACCUUUUGUCUCUGUAUUGCUUGUUAUUUUAUUUUGCAACUAUUGGAAUUUGGCAACUAAUUUCUUUUUCUUUUUCUUUUAUUUGUUUGCAGAUAUGCUUAAUAUGUCAUUUUAUAUUAUUAUUUUCUUAAAUAAUAAAUAAAAUAUUGAUACCAUAGUAACAGUAAUCACGAACACUAAUAUAGUAUUGUAAUAUUUUGAUACUAUGGUGUCAUGAUUUUGGUGAUACUAUAAUAACAGUAAUCACUGACACUAUACUCGUGACACCACAAACAAGUGUCACUAUUUUUCUAACUGUCAGAUUACUGACACAAUUAGUAAGUGUCACUAAAAGUAAUUACUAACAUUAUUCUAAUGUCAGUAAAAAUCAUUUUUUUAGUAGUGCGAUAACGUACAAGUAGGUACACAUUCAUAAAUUUUCCUUCGUGUAUUCACAUAAUUUGUGAUACAAAUCAUGUAUCUCAUUGAUCAAAUAAAGAUCCUCCCAAAUUCAGUGAAAUUUAAUCACAGACUGCCAUUAACUUAUUAAAAUACCAUAAUGCCACUGAAUUUCACUGAAGCUGGUAAUGGAGGCAAUUUACACAUAUAUGUAAAUUAAGUUUUUUAGACAAAAAAUUAACAAUAAUUUCAUGGGAAUGCCAUGAAAUCAAAGCCAUCCAUCAAAAUAAUAUCAUUGGAGAUUUAUCAGUUAAUAUUUUGAUGUUUAGCUAUUUAUGGAGUUGGAGGCUCCACACUAAAAUGCAUCCAAACCACUCUAAUUCAUUUCUCAUGCUUCUACAUUUGUAACAGCUCAAGACUUUAAUAGUUAUUCAAUUGCUACAUGAUAAUUCCAACUAGCAACAAAAGACUAAGUGUUUGAUCACAAAAUUAAACUGACGCAAACAAAGAAUCAGAUUAUAGUAGGAGUAGAACAUUUUCAAUCUAGACUAUAAGUAUACUGUGCACUUCAAAUCUCAAAUAGUAGGCUGAAACAGAGAAAAAAAAUUAAUAAAGAAAGAAAAUAAUAAUUAAACCGAAAAGAAAGAAAAGCAAAGAUACCUUCGUAGACCCUGAAUAUGGGGACGUGCUUGCUCGCGCUAAAGUUGAUGACGAGUCGACGACGCAGCAUAAACUCGAAGAAAAAUUGACCUAAAAAAACCAUUAUUCUCAAGAAAGUUCCUCACUAGGUAAGUGUAAUAUGAUGAAACGACCAAGAUUCCAAAGAUGAUAGGCGCACUGAAACUUAAGAUGCCUCAUAUAUCUCCUUCAAAUAUGCUAGACACAAAAGACUGAAUCAUUUGUGGGACAAUGACCUGAAUACUGGAAAUGUACGCCAUGUAAUCGAAACUUUGAGCUUUCAUAGGGAAGAUUGCUAAGAAUGUGCACAACCCCAAAGCCAACUUCCAUUCACGACACUCUUCUUUGAAAAUCCUUGUGAUUACCUCAUUCAGUAUAGCAAUGAUGAGUGUGAAGCCAAAGCUCACCAUCCAAUUAGAAAGCCACUCAGGAAUCCCUUGAAUCAAUUUGUAAAGUAUAAUAGUAUGGGUGGAACAAUAGUAAUCAAGAUGCUAGCCUUCCAUGGCAACUCAUGCGGUUUCUUGAAACACUCAUAAACACUAACAAUCAACAUGAUGAAAUAGUGAAAAUAAGCAGCCCAUUCCCACAUGUAAGUGGCCAUUGUUACAGCUUGCUUUCUCUGUCUUUAUUUCAACUUUUUCCUUUUUUCUUGAUUAGAGUACUAAUGACGUUUGUUGCUAAACUUACAUAAUCAGUUAUACAAAAAUUGAUUCUGUUAUUUUUUUUAUUUUGGUGCGCAUUUUGUUAGUUUGUAAUCAGUUAUGGGGUGAGUUAAUUAUUAGAUUCCAACCAAAUUUGCUGCAAGAAAAGUGAUACUGUGUGCUAACAACCAUUAUUGGUGAUCAUGAGUGAAGCGAUCACUGCAACAAAAAGGGCUUUAGCGACGAAUAGUUUCAUCGCUAAAAAUUUGUAAUUUUCAUUUCUAAAGGCUAUAACAACAAAAAAAAUUUACUGCAAUUUUGUCCCCAUAAGAGCGUUGUGUUAGGUCUUUAGCAUUGAAUUUUUAAAUUUUUGUCACUAAAAAAAUUUCGUCGCUAAAAGUAUUUUUUAGUGACAAAAAUUUAUUCGUCGCCAAAAUGCUUUUAGCGACGAAUCCUGUUUUGUUGCCAAAAAGACUUUUUACAAGUCAAUAUAAAUUUCUUGAUUUUCUUCAUCUUGAUGUAAUUGAUCUUCAAUAUUCCCUACAAAUAAACGCAUAAUAAUUAGUUAACAUAAUAAACAAAAAUAUAUUAAUAAUAUAAGUUAGAAUAAAUAAGAUAAGUAAAAAAAAUUAUACCAUGUUAAAAAUAAAAGAGAAAAGAUGUAGAGAUUAAAUUUGAAAAUGAGAAUUAUAUAUUUAGAGAUGAGAGAAUUAAAGAAUGAAAAUAAGGGAAUGAGAGAGUGAGAGAAUGAAAAAAAGAAUGAAAGAAAUGAAGUAAUAGGACACAAGAGCUUUUAGCGACGAAAUUUAAAGUUCAUCGCUAAACCUUAAUUUUAGUGGAAAAUAAUCCAGCAAAAUUUUUAAAAUUUUGACAUUUUUUAGCGACGAAAUAUUUUGUAGUUAAAAGUGCACAUCUAGUGACGAAAUCUAAUUUUAGUCACUAGAAGUAUACAUGCAGAGACAAAAUUCAAUUUUGUAACUAAAGAUCUUAAAUUUUGGUGGAAAAUCUUCCGCCAAUUUUUUUUUUUUUUUAAUUUUCACAUUUUUUGCGACGAAUAGAUUUCAUAACUCCUUUAGCUUAUCAAAGAGUUUUAGCAACAAAAUUUAUUCGUCGCUAAAACUAUUUUUAGUGACAAAAAAGGUUCGUUGCAAUAUAUCAAAUUUUGGUCGCUAAAGGUAUGGGCGCCAACAUUUUUUUUUGCCUCCUAUUUUUUUGGCGACGAAUCUAAUUUUUGGUCGCAAUAUGUGAUAAUUAAAUAUUAAUUUUCUACUAUGAAUUUAGCGACAAAAGUUUUUUUUAUCACUAAAAAAUGCUUACAGCGACGAAAAUAUUUUCAUCGCUAAAAGUUUCAUCGGUAAAGACCAAUAUUCUUGUAGUGGAUGCAGUAUGGAUAAAAAUUGGAUGCAUAUAAUACAACAAAAGACACUUGCGUUUUGGGCAGUAUAUGUUUUAGCUCAAGUCACUUUAGUCAAACUCUAGUCAAGCAUUUGCUAUUCUCUAUAUUAGCAACCAUUUUAGCUGAGAAUAUGUGAAGUGAUACAGUGUUCAUCAUAACUAGAUGCAUGUAUUAUUACGGCAGAAGACAUUUGCAUCGAGUCCUGGCGACUAUGGUUUAAGCUGAAGUCACGCGAGUCACUUAAGUCAAACUCUGGUCAAGCAUUUGUUAAUUCUUGUUAACUUGGGCGUGUGAUUCUUCAAUUUACCCCUCGAAAAGAUCAAAUUAUUCAUUAAUCAGAAUCGUCUUCAAAAUUCUCACAUGAAUAAAUUUGUACCCAACUUUCUUAUCUACAACCUCGACUCUAAGAAAGAGACUUCCUCCGUUGUUAAAUUAUCCUUUUCUUUUGGUUACCCCAUUACCAUUAGUGUUGAGUACAAGGGGAAGUUUUGAAGGGCUAUGGUUGUAUUCGACCAUUGACGAAUUCUCUGCAUCAAAAGCAGGCCCAUUUUCUUCUAUGAAAUUACUUGGUUUUGCAGCCACAAAUUCAGCUAACUAAGAGACCGUUUUAGAUUUGAUGAAAGAAGCAACAAAGGAUUUAAUGAUGAAAGAGAAUGUGUAUCCAUGCAUACAUAAAUAUAUCUAUAUAUACAUGUGUGUGUGUGUGAUUUGAAUUCUUUAUAAUUAGUUGACUGUUGAAGAAAUGUACAAAGAUUAUUUUAGGUUAAUGGCGAUUAAAUCUAAUGGAGAGAUAUCCUCAUUGAAAUUGUUAAAAAAAAGAAAAAUCUCUACAGUGCUCUACUAAGAAGAUACAAACUAUAACAACCAAAUGUUAAUGAUAAAUUGUCAACAAAAACAACAAUAAGAUGCACAAAAAGAAAAUAAAAUCAUCCGCGUAAUACUCCGGCCUCCAAAACUUUCACGCACCACCAUCGAGAGGCCUAAGAAAGGCAUUGAUGAGUAACAAAAUAAUAGAAAAGGAAAAAUAAAGGACGACGACCGGAGAGGGUGACUCCCUUCUCAUCCGAAAAUUUUCACUUAUUUUUAUCUACCUCACUUGGAGAAUGUGUGCUGCAGUAAAAGUGUAGAGUUAGCCAAUAAAUAAAGAUAUAAAAAAAAUAAAUUAGAAUUUAGUUAACCACAAAGCAUUUGCCAUGUGUCAAAACGCUGGGAGCACCAGGUGGUACGUUUGAAAAGCUACCCCCAUAUCACGAGUGUGAAAAUUACACGAAAGGACAAGAUUACCAAACCAGUUAUAGGCCACAAAAAUUAACUGUCAACUACUUGCUCUACAAUUGAAAAAUUAAUAAAAGAACUCAAGUUCAAGUAUUUAACGAUAUCCGAAAGCUGAAAAAGUACUAAUAGUUUUAUCGCUAUAAAUCUGAGCUGGUACAAUUCCAUGAACAGAGCUGGCGAGCAAACAUGGCCUCAGUUCCAUCGCCUAAAAUCCUUCAAUUUGCCGUUCAAUCUCGGUCAAUGUCAGCUAAUUAUCUUCUCUUCAGCUCGCCGUCACAACCGUGGCCUUGUUCACAGAAGUUGAGAAAUGCUUCUCUGUUUCCGAUUAUAGUAAAGGUUUCGUCCAAAGUGAAGUGUUUGACAGAAUCAACGGACGAGGAUCGGUUGAGCGAAUCGGAGGCGGUUGAUGAUGAUGUUGAUGGAGUGAGGGAGGAUACGAAGGUGCAUGUGAAGCGGCCGCAGAGGACUGCUUCCUCGUCCAGUGAUUCUUUAUCUCUUGGAAUUCGAGAGCCGGUUUAUGAGGUUUUUUUUUUUUUUUUUAAUUCUGAAAAAUUUUCAGGACGCUUUUAAUAGUGUGUUUAGUAAAUUAUGCUUCAUGCAAAGCACUUUGCAAAAACUUUCUGGAAAGCACUUUUCAAGUGCUUCUUGGAAAAGCACUCUUUUUUUUUUUUUUUGGUUCCCCUACAUUAUAAGCACUAUUAGUACAUAUCAAACGCUUGUCCGAACGGCACUUCUAGUUAGUUAAAAAAACGUAUACAUGGGCCAAACCCGUUAAAAUUAAUUAGUUAGUGCCUUCACCUGUUUGAGCAAGCUUUUGUCCGCGCCAAAAGCACUUUUAGAUGCACUAUCGUAGUGUUCGGCUUAAACAUAGAGGACUUAUUUAAAGGAUUUAAAACAGUUGGAGUGCUUAUCGGGGAAGCGCUUGACAUGUGAUUGUUCAGAAAGUACUAUUAGAGGUAUGAAAGCACUUGAAGUCUUAUUUUCUCUGCUGAGACAAUGUGUCAUAAUUAAUUUAAUUCCAUUUUCCAGAAAUUGUUUUGAUUCUAAAGGUGUAAGAGAAAUUAAGAUAAGGUUGUUGAUUUGGCUUUUUGGCAAUUAACUACUGUCUCACAAUCACAAAGAUAGAAAAAUAAAAAUAAGAUUAGAGGUAACGUACUAAGUAUGAAUGAUCCUCGUACUGUUAACAAAGUUAGUUGAGAGUCUUUGUUUUGCUCUAGCUAUUUAUUAUAUUUGCUUUGAUUUUGAUCUGCACUUGAGCAAUUAAUGGUUUUUUGAUUUAUAUGCAUGAUUCUUCGUCAUUUUUUUCAUAUUUUUCUUUAUCUUAUUUAAAGGUGGUGGAAGUGAAGUCAAAUGGGGUGGUUUCUACUAGGAAGAUAAACAGACGUCAGUUGUUGAAGUCAAGUGGUAAAUAAAAUGCUCCUCGAAAACUUUGUUAAUGUUCCUUUUCGCUUGGUUUGUUAAAGGAAUCAUUAAAGCAAAUGUUAAUGUAUGUAAACUAAAUGAGGAUAUAUCUAUAUGAAAAUCACAUUACCUGCAAGAAUGAUGUAUUUGGGUUUGGUUUGUGCAUGCAGGUACAUAUUAUUUUAAACUGACCUUUUCUUAUGAAUCUUUCCCAUUGCCAGGUCUUCGUCCAAGAGAUAUCAGAAGCAUUGAUCCAUCGUUGUUUUUGACAAAUUCCAUGCCAUCCUUGCUGGUAUUAUAUCAACUUAUCUUUGUUAUUUGUGGGAAGUUCAUAUUAUGUUACUUUUUUCCUUCUUUUAUUUGUUUUAUUACUAGGAUUUAGACAUGAUAUGCCUUUUGAGAAGAAUACCAAAAAUAAGUGUCGUCCUUUUUGAAUGCUUCAACUAACUUUAAAUGUUAGCUAAAGAUUGGACAUUGGAUGCUGUAACAAGGCUUUAGCAUUUUUCAUUAGUUGUACCUUUCGGUUUUAAACUUGCUUACUUCAUUUUUUUUCCCAUGAAUUUUUGUACUGUAAUGACACGAUUAACAUUAAUAUUCAAAAAAUAUUCUUCGGUUGUUUGUGGUAUGUGGUAUGUGGUAUGUGGUAUGUGGUAUGUGGUAUGUUUACAAUUUAUUACGUGACUUGUAUCAUAGGUCCGUGAGCAUGCCAUUCUGCUAAAUUUGGGCUCACUGAGAGCAAUAACAAUGCAGGAGCGUGUCUUUAUAUUUGACUACAAUCGGUAAGUUUAUCUUCUUGCGCAGCACAAACAUCUCAUUGUUUAGUAGUGCUAUUUCAGUUCUUAUAUAUUUCUGGUGUGAAAAUUACUGAACUUAGUGCCUGAUUGAUCAUUUUUAGUAAAGGAGGAAAAGCUUUUAUAGACACUCUGUUGCCUCGAUUGAAUCCCAGAAACUUGAAUGGUAGUCCAUGUAUGCCAUUUAUGAUUGAGGUUAGUUUGUCGCUUUGAUCUCUGUUUAUACUUAAUGUUUCCAUGCCUAACUUAAUAUUUUCUUCAAAUGUUGGCUUAUUUCAACAGCAUCAAGCUCUUAAUGGAGACUACUAGAAUAGAUAUUGUCCUAUAAAAAUUGAUGCUUAAAACCUACUUUUCCUGUAAUAGAGAGCAAUCAUGGGAGCCAAAGCAUAGGAGUUGAAUAGAUUGAAAAGAUUUAGGAAAGGGAAAUGCUUUUACAUGUCAAUUAAAAGUGGAACUUGCAAUUAAACAAUGUCACUAGCAUAAGCUAUGCACUUGUAUUAUGCCAUUUAUUUUCAUUCCCUCUGUUUACUUUGAACUUGUGGCAUGAUGAUUCAGGCUGUUGAAGCAGCAUUACUUUCACGAGUCCAGCGUCUGGAGCAGAGACUAAUGCAUAUAGAACCUCGUGUGAGUAUGAGAGCAUAGUGAGUAUUUAUUUUGUUUUUCUCCUGUUUGUGGCUUUGCUUUUGGGUUUAUCAGGACUUGUUACAAAACAAGCAAAACUUUAACUGAAGCUGUCAUUUCCAAUGUCUUGGACAUUUUAACUGCACUAUAUCUGCCUCAAGUUAGUAUCCUAGAAGAUCUCUUUGACUUGUGGAAAUUACAUUUAAGAAUUUUUAAUGUACCAGUGAUAGGAAAUAUAUGGAUCCAGUUAUGCAUUAAUAUUUUUCUUCUGAAGGAGAAGGCGUCUAAUCAUCAAAAGAUCUUGCAUGUUUAGUGUAAAUUAACUAAGGGCAUUUCAGUGGAUGCCACCUAGUUCAGUUGCUAAAAUCUCUUGAGUGGAAACAAGAGGUCUGGGGUUUGAACCUCACUCACAUGGAUGGGGGGGGGAGGGAUGGGUUACUGGAUUGCCAUUAGGCUACAACUCAAAAAUAAAUAAAUAAACUAAGGGCACUUCAUGUAUGAAUUUGUUUAUGUGGAUAACAGUUGAAACACAUCCUUUGGUUACUGAUCUUGGUGAAAAGUCUCGCACUUCAUGAUUGAUUUGACAAUGGUAAUUCUAUCCCUCUGAAGAUUUAUACAUUAUUUUGAUUAUCUUGUUGCACCUCAAAUUUGAUUUCAGAUAAGCUUGAUAUGCUUCCGUCCUGAUAUGUUAGCUCUGUUGUCACUUCUUUCUGCUAUUAUUUGGUAGUUGUACAAAUAAAUUUCUCACUUCUAUUUUGAUAAAUGCUAACCAAUUGAUAAUUUCUUCUGGUUUAUAUCUAUUGUUCAUCAGUUUAUUACUUUAGUGUGUAUGCUAAUUUCUGAAAUUACGAACUUAUUUUUCCAUUUGUUGUAUUUUUCGUAUCUUUUUGCUUCAGGUUCAAGGUCUACUUGAGGUGUUGCCCAACCGUUUGACCGCUGAUAUAUUGGAGCAACUUCGUAUAAGCAAGCAAACCUUGGUAUGAUACUGUUUGUACCGAAGCUUGAAAAAUGACUUGAGUUGCAUUUUGAAAAAUACAGUCUUUAUCUAUUGCUUUCAUUUUAGGUUGAACUGAGUUCAAGGGCAGGGGCUCUCCGGCAAAUGCUUCUUGAUCUUUUGGAGGAUCCACAUGAAAUACGCCGUAUUUGUAUUAUGGGUAAGAACUGCACUCUGAGAAGAGGGAACGAUGAUGUGGAAUGCUCUGUUCCCUUGGAAAAGCAGAUUGCUGAGGGUAUGUUCUGCAAAGGUUUCUUUGUUCACGAUAUUUGUAGCUGGUCUUGUGUAAAUGCAUAUACAAUUCAUUGAUAUAUGAUUCUAAUACGUCCAACUAUUACAUUUGCAGAAGAGGAGGAAGAAAUCGAGAUGCUUUUGGAAAACUAUCUUCAAAGGUUGUUUUCUUAGUUUUCUUCUGCAUGCAAAGCAUAUUUGUCCUCGUUUUUCUAUAUUUUCUUCUCUUGUGUGCAUAUUUGUCCUUUUUUUUCUAUAACUUUGCAACCUUGUUUCUCAGUUUGUUAUAUAGAUAUCAAAUCAGGAGAUAAGUAAUUUGCAUCAUUUUUGGGUUCUAUAGCACCAAUUUGCAGCAAGAUGAUUAUUUUAUGACCACUAGUAAAGCUUAACAACUGUCUUGUUAAAAUUUAACCAUCUGGGAUAAAGUUACUAAAUAUAUUGCUUCCUUGUUUUAUUUAUGUGGAUAUUGUUAACAACUGUUUUGGAUUUUAUGAAAUGGUGAUAUUUCAUUUAUGAGAACAUUUAUUGAGUAGGAAUUCAAGAUGUAGAAUUGUGGUGAUUAGUGCUUCACAAAUCUCUUCUAGUUAUGGAGAACAGUGAUGCUUUAUGAAAGAUCUCUUUCAAUACUUUAUGUAAUCCUCAAAAGAGAAAUCCUAAAUGUGCAGGACAACUAUCUGCUGUCAUGGUCAUGGAGAAAUCCCUCUUAAUAGCUUAACAUGUUGGGCACUGUGCCUACUAGAGUUUAGGUAUCCAUACCAAAUUCUACACAAUGUUGACGGUGGGAUACACAAAUCAUUGUUUGUUGAGUUGCAUAUGAACCAUGUCCAACUGCUUUGCAAAGAAUGACAGAAAGUUUUAGUUCGAUGUAAUACUCGUGAUAAGUGAAAAUUGGACACUUUACAUGUGCGUCUGAAAAUUGGCUUGUACAAGUUAAGAAAGAGCGUUGAUGACAUUUGUGACUGAAAAGCCUCUGUCUCCCAAUUCAGAGUUUUGAGUGCUAGAAUUUACAUUUCCUAGAAAUAAGUAUAAGUAAGCAAUGUCCUAUGUAGCACCAUGUCAAGUGUUUAAUUGAAUAGUCAGAAAUCAGAAUGUCCAAAUAGUUAUGUUCAAAGCAAUGGGCACAUGGAUUUUGAGAAGCUUUUCAUCAUAUUAUGAAAGUAUAGAAAGAAGGCUCAUCUGAAGGCAAGAUACCAAAUAAUAUCUUGUCCAAAAAGAAUCCUGGAGAAUUUUAUAUUUUAGAAAGUGAAUGAAUAAUUGUCAAAAGACAAUUAUAUCAUGGCAAGUUUUACUCUAUUUUGUGUCCUCUCUUCUUAGCUCCAGUAAUCAACUUAAUUUUUCUGCCAGAAUAAAAAGCUGGAACAAUAAGAAUCCAUGUUGGAGCAUUUAAAUGUUGGUCAUUUUGUCCUAAUCAUUCAUACUAACUUUUCUGCAGAGAUGGAACCCGGCCCCGGAAAAGAAUAUGGGAGUUUGGGAAUAUUUAUAACUGCAACAGCUAAAUAGUUUCCAACUUUUGAUAGAAGUAUGCCUACGUUAGUACCCACUAAUUAUUAAUACCCAAUGAAACUUUGCUAGUGUCACUAGCUGUUGUUUUCUAAAGUUGUUCAUUCUAAGACAUAAACAGUUUACCAAUUAGGUAUUUACAAGUUCAACAAGAAAGUAUUUCUUACUCAUAAUUUGAUUCAGCUUAAAAGAAUAGGUGAACCUUGCUUGGUGUUUUGAGUUUGCUUGUCAUGUUUAUAACUUUUAUGACAACAGUGACACUGUAUUACAUGCUGGUGAGAAUCAUAUUUCCUUUCAUAUAGAAACUAACUACACUACUUUAUGUCAUUUGCAGAUGUGAAUCUUGUCAUGGACAGUCAGAAAGGCUUCUUGAUUCUGCUAAAGAAAUGGAAGAUUCUAUUGCUGUAAAUCUAAGGUCUGGAUGAUGUUUGAGUUUCUUUAAUUGUUUGCUUUAUUAGCUUUAUGAUUUCUGUUUUGGAUGUGGUGUCAAAAUAACCUUAUGCAACUAGUAUGAAAGUUUGUCUCAGACAUCAGCAUUUGUGAAAUACAAAGCAUCACCCUUUUCCUACCCAAGGGCAUGCUCUGAUUACUUGUUAGCUUUGAAUGUUUUAACUGAAAAUGGAAUCUGGUAGAAAGUUCCUGGAAUUUGAAAAUAUAUUACAUAGAAGGCUCUAUAAAAUCAUGUGUUGCAUUUCAUUAGAGCCUUUUGGAGAUUAGCAACAUAUCACCCACCAAAAUAGAAUGAUAAAAAACAAAAGCCUAUAUUAUACAGAAGCCUUUGCGUUCCCAUCACUAGUCAGGGCUCUGUGGCAAUAGCUCAACAUGUUUAUUUCUAGUAUUAAAUCUUCCCUCGCUUCUUGUGGUACUCAUUUCUUCUUACUGAUAAAGAGGGGUUGGGUUGCUUUUAAUUAUCAGCUCUCGGAGGCUUGAGGUUAGCAGAGUAGAAUUACUUCUCCAGGUUGGGGCCUUUUGUGUUGCAGUUGGUGCCCUAAUAGCAGGUGUGUCCUUUUUUAAAGAAAGUAUGCUACAAACUGUGUUAUAAUCUGUGAAUUAAUUGGUGCAUAAUGAUUUAUUAUGUGUGCCACCAUAUUGUACAUAUUGCUCCUCAUAUGGCUGUCUUAACUCACCAUACGUUUUGAUCAAUGUGAAAGCCCAUAAAUUGUUGUGUUACAUAAUAUAGCACUUCAGAGUUGGAGCUGCAACAAGCAUAUAGAACUAAUAGUAUAUAGACAUCUGUUAAGAUGAUGUAAGCCACCUUGGUAACUUUGAAGCAAGUUGCUUAAUUCAAUAACUGAAUACUGUAUUCUUGGAUUAGUUGGAUAUGACAAGAGCCUGAAACUCACUUGUAUGAUAAACAGGUAUCAGGGACUUUACGUUGAAAUCCUACCAAGCAGAAUGUUUUAUAAACAAUAUUUUGCCAUCUUUCUCUCAUUGCUAAUCAAUCAAUCAUUCAUUGACCGGUAGUCAAACAGAAUGAUGACAAUAAAAUAGAUAUUCCUGUUUAAUAAUGUUAUAAUUUAGCUUCAGUUGAAGGCCAAGGAAACGGUGACCUGGAGUUUUAAUUUUAUGAAUAAUGCAAGACCUGCAGUUCGAAAAUUGGGAAUAAAUUGUUCUUAUUGAUCAGUUGAUGCUUGUGUUCUGAUUACUAUCAUUCUUGAACCAGUGUCAUGACUUAACUCCCUGGUCGCAGGUAUAUUUGGCAUGAACUUGAAGUCGUAUCUUGAAGAACACAUGGUACUUUUUUUUACGAGUUAAUUACUUAAUACUUCUGUAGUAUAUUGUUCAUAUGCUAUUUUCAGAUGAUUAUUAUCUGACCACGUCAUCUUCUCGUUUGACUUGAUUGCAGUUUGCUUUUUGGUUGACAACAGCCGGCAUAAUUGUUGGGGCUGUGAUGGCAUUUUUCCUCACGUAUUGGUAUCUGAGGGCUAGGAAAAUUCUGUAAUGGAGGUCAUUAUUCAAGUUUAGGUAAUGACAUUUUUAACUUUUGGGACAAUAAUUUCCCAUAAAACUAUUAUGACCAUCCAUCAGUAUCUAUUCUCCCAUUCAUUUUUCAGGUGAUACUCAUACUAGUGAUAGAAGAAAUGUUAUCGUCUAACUAACCGGGUGACAUUUACAAGGUUCCGUAACAAAUUGUUUCAAGCCAUGAAUUCAAUUCGAUUGUUUUUGGCGAGCUGUGUGUAUGUAUUAAGUAGCUCUUCAAUUGCUCGAAUAAGCUUGCGGGCUUGCGGCAGUGGCAGCUAUUGAAUUUUGCAUCAACAAAUUCAUCAACUUUGGACGCCUCUGUAUGAUUGUGUAUGCACAACAAGUUCGGAUGAUUUGGGCGUAUUAGCCAUCUUUCAAAAUUGUUGCUAAGGGAUAAUUUUUGCCCCCAUUUUUUUUUCACUUUUUAAGCCCCCAUAUUUUUUUUUCACUUUUUAAGCAGUUGUUAGAAACUGGAAACCAAACAUGCAAAUCCGCAUGCGAUGUUGAAGCCAUAGCAAUCUGCUUCGUGUAUAACUUAUAAGGAGUUUGUUUCUUUAGUAUCAUUUCGUUCAUAUUUUAAGGGUAAAUUUCAGAUCACUUCUCUCGCUAUCUUCGAAUUACUUUUUUUUUUUUCACGUUAUUUUUUAUUUUUGUUUAAAAGAGAAAUAAAAAUAGGAGUGGAUUGAUAAAUUUUAUCUUUUUGCCUCUUAACAAUAAUAAGAGAUAAGUUGAGAUUUUUAAAAAUAAUGAAAUUGAUUUAAAGAUAAUUAUUUUACGAAAAAAAUCCGAAAUUAACUCAUAAUCUAAAGAGGAUUUAAAUUUGGUAAUUAAAAAAAUUAUAAGUUCAUAAAUUGCAUUGUAGCCACUUUCCUGAUGGCUACGUGCGACGAGGCAACUCGAUUUAUGUUAAGUUAAAAAGAACCGAGUACAGGAGAGUACAACCAAACACAAAUAGUGGCUCCAAAAUUGAUUUCACUGACUUCCGUGGUCACUUGAUAACACGGCCCGCCUUUUGAAAACGAAAAUGUCUCACGCGCUUCUGAGAACGUGAGAUACACCGCUGGCUCCCACUCGCCGCCACAUGUAUAUAAAUUGCGCUGCUGAUUAAUUUUUCCGGCGAGCACCCCUCUCUCAAGGACCCUAAUUCCUCCGCCACUAGUACACCAAUCAAUCAACCGCCCAAAAAGAUUAAUCUCGAAAGUCUUUAAUUUUUCUAUAUCGUGAGAAUUUAGAAGAAAAUAAAAUUCAAACUCAAUCAAAAACAGCUGAAGCAAUCGAUAAAAAUUCAAUCUUUAUCUGAUAAUUCAACCAAAAAAAAAGAAAGCAAAAACACUCUCAUUUAGGUAUAUGAGUAAUGGCGGAAGAUAGUAAUGGAGAUCGAAGUGAUGUAAGUGAUUACACGUCAGAGGAUGAGGGAACGGAGGAUUACAGGAGAGGAGGGUACCAUGCAGUGCGUAUUGGUGAUACUUUCAAGAAUGGUCGCUAUGUAGUUCAAAGCAAGCUUGGCUGGGGCCAUUUCUCCACCGUUUGGCUCGCUUGGGAUACUCAAACUUCUGUAAGUUUCUUCUUCCGUUUUUAUUUUUGGUGGGGGGGGGGGGGGUUGUUGAUGAGAAAUUUUGCUUUUUUAUUCUAAUUAAUAUUAUUGUUGUUAUUGAAGGUGCUUGUCAUUUUUUAGUUUCAAUGUCAAAAAUUGAAUUAGGCCCUUCCUAUUAAUUGAUGCUGUUCAAUGCUUUAACAUUUAUGAGAAAUUCAUUGUUUGUAGCAUUAUGUAGCUUUGAAAGUCCAGAAGAGUGCUCAGCACUACACUGAGGCAGCUUUGGAUGAGAUAAAGAUCCUCAAACAGAUAGCUGAGGGAGACCCAGAUGAUAAAAAGCGUGUUGUGAAGCUUUUAGAUCACUUUAAGCAUUCGGGGCCGAAUGGGCAGCAUGUUUGUAUGGUUUUCGAGUACUUGGGAGAGAAUCUUCUGACGCUCAUUAAGUAUGCAGAUUAUCGUGGGGUUCCUUUACACAUGGUCAAAGAAAUUUGUUUUCAUAUUUUGGUGGGUUUAGAUUAUUUGCAUCGUGAGCUUUCGAUUAUUCACACUGAUUUGAAACCAGAGAAUGUAUUGCUCAUGUCAAUGAUUGAUCCAUCUAAAGAUCCCCACAAAUCAGGGCCUCCUCCUAUGCUUCCUACCAAAAAAGAUAAACUUGUGCUUGAUCCCAGUGUUUCAAAAGAGAGUAAGAGUUUUCAUGGGGAUCUAACCAAGAAUCAAAAGAAGAAGAUUAAAAAGAAAGCUAAGAAAGCAGCUCAGGGUUGUUCAUCUAAUGAAGCGUGUGAGGAAAAUGAGUCAGACUCCAAACCAUCUAGUCCCGAUCACACCAGUGUUGAUGCAGAACCGAAUGGGGACUCUGUUGAAGACCAACAGAAUGGUUCCUUGAUAAAAAAUGAAGCUACUUCUAAUGAAGGAAUUAAUAAAGAUCGUAAAAGGCCAAGCCACUCCAGAAGAAAAGAGCUUUUGGCAGCAGUUGAUCUGAAGUGCAAAUUGGUUGAUUUCGGAAAUGCUUGUUGGACAUACAAACAAUUUACGAACGACAUUCAGACACGGCAGUAUAGGUGUCCCGAGGUUCUUCUCGGAUCUAAAUACUCCACUCCAGCUGAUCUAUGGUCUUUUGCUUGCAUAUGCUUUGAGCUGGCCACAGGCGAUGUUCUUUUUGAUCCUCACAGUGGUGACAAUUAUGAUAGGGAUGAGGUCUGUCUUCAUUAUUUCUUGCCACAUGUAUCUGGUGCUUUGUUGUUUUUGUCAAUUAAUUAUAACACCUGAUAAUAGUUAAACAUUUGUGACUUUCUCUCUUGUGAGAAUUUAAGGUAUUUAAUCUAAUAUUGUUGGAUUUUGCAAAAUAGCUCUACUUGAUUUGUUGGACCUGGUUGUCUUAAAAUAUGGGCUUUGAUUUAUAUUUUGGCCAAGUUUAAUCAUAUGUCCUAUGGUUGAUAGGAUUCAUUCUGAAACAGAAUUAUUUGAGGGAAUUUAAAACUUACAUCUCUCUCCCAGUGAUUCCAUUUAGUGUCACAUAUGUAAAAUUAAUUAGAAUGACUGAAACGAUUUUAGUGGAGAGAAUCUAUGCCAUGAGAUUGCUAUUUCUGGAGUUGACAAGAAAUUUUGGGAAAGGGAUUGUGGGAAGAUAUUUUCCAAUUUCUAUGAAUCUUUCAAGCCCAGUCGACUAGAAAUUAUCAAAUUCUUGCAUGGGAAAUGUUCAAGAGACUGUCAGAGUUUAAUUCAGGUUGCUUUUGUGAUGUAAAUUUAGUACCUUUUAUUUAUUAGAGUACUAUGAUUUUGCUACUGUUUGCUCUUUAUUUGGAUAGAUUUUUCUUUGGAUUUCUGAGUCAACUUUGAUCGUUUAAUCUAAUUUGUUUCAGUUCAAGCAGCAAAAACAAAGUUUAGACAGCUAUUGGUAUAAACUAUGUUAGCUAUUGGUUUUCUUUCUUCUUCCUUUUCUCUUUUUUAACUUCCUGGUCUUUGCUUGCAGGAUCACUUGGCACUGAUGAUGGAGCUUCUAGGGAUGAUGCCUCGCAAGGUAAGAUUGUACGUCUGCUUGUCGAGAGUAAUAACUUGGCAACACUUGAUCCUAUACUGUUAUUUUCAUAGCAACAAUAUUUAACAUUUUGACUGCUUUCAACAAAACCCAUACAUUCAUCCCUCCAUCAAGUCUCUUAACAAAUACUUUCCUCAGAUUGCUUUCGGUGGUCGCUAUUCCCGAGAUUUCUUCAAUAGACAUGGAGAUUUAAGGCAUAUCCGUCGUCUGCGUUUUUGGCCUCUCAAUAAGGUGCUUAUAGAGAAGUACGACUUCAGUGAGAAAGAUGCAAAUGACAUGGCCGACUUCCUUGUUCCAAUUCUUGACUUUUUCCCUGAAAAAAGACCAACAGCAGCCCAAUGUCUUACUCAUCCAUGGAUCAAUGUAGGUCCUCGGCUGCUUGAGCCUUCUAUGGCUGCUACUCAGCCGCAGGACACAGGAGGGAGUAUUUCUGAUAAAAAUAGGAGAGAAAAGGAUGAGAGGGAGGCGAUGGAGGCGCGAGUGGGAAAUAUAGCAAUUGACGGGGUUUCAAAGCCUUCUAGAGACAAUGCAGCUGCUACUCUAAGACCUCCAAAAUAAGAAGAGUCACUUGUUCAGGUGGAGUGUUUAUCACAAGCUUUUCAGUUCCUUAACUCCUGUUUAUCACAGGCUUUUCAGUUCUUUAACUCCUGUCAUUUACUCUUUGCCAAUUCUUGCUUGCAAUUUUUGGAGGGAAGUUGGUUUUCACAUUCAAUGAAGAUUCAUACAACAUGCUGUGGGCUUGCAAUCUAAGAACAUUUGUUGUUGGUGUAGAGGUGUGGCAAUCUGUUAGUACCUUUUCUGAUAAGGUACCACCUAAAGUUGCUCAAAGUAAGCUCCUUUUCUGGUAAUAUACCACUCAAGGUUGCUCAAAGUAACUGUACAUUUCUUAAUUGUAGCCUCUAGCAUUGUUCGGCAGACCAAGUUUAAUAUAAUUUUUUUGUACAAGUUAGAAGCUACCUCUGGAGGGAUUUUCAUAUAUUAAACUUAGAUUAGGAUUUAUUAUGAGAUACAUUUUUACAUACUAUUGGAUUUUUUUCUUGACAUUCCUUACCGUAACUGAAUGUUCGCAGUAUUCUUGUCCCUUCAACCUAGGUAGUUAAUCUCAUUAUCGCUGUUGCCUUUGAUGCUCAUUCUUUCUUUCUUUUUUUUUUUUUUCUUUUUUUUUUUCCCCUUCAAUCAGAUGUUCAUCUCUGCUGGUUUUGCGCUCAAAUCCUGGAGGUUCCUUUUUCUGAAAGCUUGAUGUAUUUUUGGAAGCAUACUACUACUUUUCAAAAUGAUGAAUAUCUUGGUAUGCACAUUGGGAAUAGUAUAUAUGGUUGCAGGGCUGUAGUCAGAAAUAAUUUUUUGGUCGGGCUGAAUUAAUUUUAUUUAUUUUCACAUCAAGACUUUAUUAGAUUUGAACCAAUGGUUUUAGAAAGUGUUCUUUAAAUAUUAAGACAUGCAAUGAUUUUUUUUUCGAAAAAAGAGGGGGGGAAAAAAAUCAUGCUAUCCCACUAGAUUGAGAGGUGCCUCCCCUUUUAUGAGGCAAAUCACAUUUGAAGGCAUGGCCACAGACCUGAUGGACGAAUUCGCAUAAAAAAUUAAUGCUAUUGAAGCUCAAGAAAUGACAGGUAAUUUACUCGUAAGCACUGUUAAGAUGUAAAUAAUUACUUCAUGAUUUAGGUUUUUCAGACCAUGCUCUAAAUUUAGCCCUAGCAGACAAAGACUAAUUGCAGUGUAGUAGUGGAGAACUGUGGUAAUAUUUUCAGCUACCAUGUGUAGUUAACUUGAAUUGUCACAUUCACCUGUGAUUCUUGGGUUUGAGAACGAACCAUCAAUAUUCCUAAUAAGUGAAGCGUUAAGGUAUACAUGCUUCCUAAAGGAUGAUGCUUUGAAGACUAACGACUAAGAAAUAUUUGCUAAAUUGCCUAACUUGCAAGAUGAAUUAUGCCGCAAAAACCAGCUCUGUUAUAACCGAAGAAAAAUAAACAAGAAAUAAAUCCAAUCAAAUGUGAAACUGUGUUCCAAAUAAAUCCUAAUUAAUAAGUUUCAUACAUGGAACCCCCAAAAGAAACUCUUUAGAUUGUGCACAAUACAAUAAAAUAAUCUGUUCAACAUAGUUUGAGACUAUGCUUGAGACAUGUACAUGUUACUUGAAACAAACUUCAACUUUUGCCACUCGCCAAUUUCAAAAUACCACAAUCCCAUGGCAUUACAUGAGUCUUCGCAUUUUGCAAAAAUAUUGCAAGCAACAUUUUGGCAAAAGAUCAUGUGAGAGAAGAAUAUAAAGACAACUGGAGGAACUUGUGAGAAACACAACCUGAAUGUCUACUUGGGAAGCUUUAAUGCAGCAGCUUCCUGGUCGCUUGAUAACUUUGAAGCCCCAUUAAUGGCCAUAUUCCCCACUCCCACUUCCAUAGCCUCCCUCUCCUCCUGCUCCCUCCUCUUUCUUUCAGGUAUACUACCUUCUGUCUCCCGUGGCUCACCAGCAGCCAUAGAAGGCUCACGCAGUUGAGGUCCUGCACUCAUCCAUGGAUGACUGAGACAUUGGGCUGCAGUUGGUCUCUUUUCAGGAACGAAAUCAAGUAUUGGAACAAGGAAGUCAGCCAUGUCCUUUGCAUCUCGCUCGUUAAAGUCGUACUUCUCUACAAGGACCUUAUUCAUAGGCCAAAAACGUAGACGACGGAUGUGCCUCAAAUCCCCAUGUCUGUUGAAGAAAUCACGGGAAUAGCGACCACCCAAUGCAAUCUGAAGACAGCAUUUUGUUAAGAUUCCAGUGGAGAAAUGAAUAUAUAGAUGCCAAAUAGUAUAAAAGCACAUAUUUUCCAAAUUGUUACUCAUGACAAGCACAUGGACAAAUCUCACCUUGCGUGGCAUCAUCCCGAGAAGCUCCAUCAUCAGUGCCAAGUGAUCCUGCACAAAACCAGAAAGUCAAAGACAGUAAAGGAAGAAGAAAGUAAAACAAAUUGCAAAACAGUUAAUCGCGCUAGCUGACUACUAACCAUGCACGAUCAAUCAUUGACAAUAUGUAACAUCAUCAGAAAUUAUAGAUGAGAUGAGGAUUAAUCAUUGCUGUUCAAUAUUUGACCAAAAAAGAAUGUUAUGCAUGAAAUAAUAGAUGCACUUGUCUCUACUGAUUAAACUGAUAGAAAUAGAUUGACCACUAACAAAUCCAAAGGUAUAUCUAAUGCCCAAAAAAAAAAAAAAUCAUAAAGCUCGACAAGGGCAAAGAUGUAAGCAACUUGAAGUAAGCUUUGAGAGUAACCCAUACUCAUAGGAAUUGAAAUUCUUCCUGAAAAUUUCUUGAAAAUUACAAAAUCAGGCAUCUCAUGAUAUAGAUUUUUCCCAUCACACGGUUCCAGUUACUCUAGUAAAUAUGCAACACAAAAAACAUAUUUGGUAAGAGAGGAGAAAAGUUUUAAAUAGAUAUUCCCUUGACAAUCAUGUUAUGCAUUUUUUGGACCAUAGGACGCUUGAUAUACCUUAGCUGAACUACAGAUGAAACCAACUGCCACUCUGAGACCAUCCCAACAAUCACUAAGGUAAAAAUAAUAUCACAAAUCUCAACAAUUUCUUGUUAAAUACACCAAAUUUCGCACAAAUGAAAAGUCAUAAAUGUUUAAUCACUAUUAGGAGUUAAAAUUAACUGAUUGAAGAUAACAAAUUCACCUCAGAUGAAUUGAUUUAAAAAAGAAAAAAAUCAAAAUAUGUGACACAGACAGUAUUAGACAAACCUCAUCCUUAUCAUAAUUGUCACCACUGUGAGGAUCAAAAAGAACGUCACCUGUCGCCAGCUCAAAGCAUAUGCAAGCAAAGGACCAUAGAUCUGCUGAAGUGGAGUAUUUAGAUCCAAGAAGAACCUCGGGACAUCUAUACUGCCUGGUCUGAAUGUCAUUUGUAAAUUGUUUGUGUGUCCAACAAGCAUUUCCAAAAUCAACCAAUUUACACUGCACAUCAACCGCAGCCAAAAGAUUUUUCCUCGUGCCACGGCUUGGCCUUCUAUGACCCUUAACUCCUUGGCUAGUAUUUUUUACUUCAUUACCCCUGGAUGAUUCAUUGUUAACCACAGAAUCAAUCCGCCGUUCUUCAACAGAAACCCCAUUUGGUAUUGUAUCGACACUAAAAUUAUCAGGACUAGAUGGUUUGGAGUCUGCUUCACUUUCAUCAAAUGCUUCAGUCCCUGCACAACCCUGAGCAGCCUUCUUGGCCUUUUUUUUUACCUUCUUUUUUUGGUUCUUGGUCAGAUCCCCAUAAAGACUCUUAUUGUCUUUUGAAGCACUAGAUUCUGUCACAACUUUAUCCGUUUUAGUAGGAAGGAUGAGGGGAACACCUGAUUUGCGGGCAUCUUUAGAUGGAUCAAUUUUUGACAAGAGCAACACAUUCUCUGGCUUCAAAUCAGUGUGAAUAAUUGAAAGCUCGCGAUGCAAAUAAUCCAAACCCACUAAAAUAUAGUAACAAAUUUCUUUGACCAUGUGUAAAGGAACCCCUCGAUAAUCAGUAUACUUAAUAAGCGUCAAAAGAUUAUCUCCCAAGUACUCAAAAACCAUACAAACGUGCUGCCCAUUGGGCCCUGAAUGCUUAAAGUGAUCUAAAAGCUUCACCACACACUUUUUAUCAUCUGGGUCUCCAUCAGCAAUCUGCUUGAGGAUCUUUAUCUCGUCCAUGGCUGCCUCAGUAUAGUGCUGAGCACUCUUCUGGACUUUCAAAGCUACAUAAUGCUGCAAACAAUGAAUGUCUCAUGAUGCUAAUGAGUCGAACAGUUUAAAUUGAUGGAAGGAUCUAAUAUAACUUUCAACAUCCAAACUGAAAAAAUCACAUAUAUAAAGCACCUUCAAAGUUAAUUUCAAGAAAAAGCAAAUCAAACAAGCUUAAAGUAGCAAAGACUUAUUUAUAUACCCACAGACAUAUACCUCUAAAUUAAUAAGCAUGAUGAAUGAUAAACAACCAAAGAAAGAAACUUCCUUUCUCCCUUGCCUUUCUCAAUUUUUCUUAACAACCAAACAACAAAGAACUCUUGAGAGAUUAAAUUUAACAAAUUAAUACAACACCAAAUAAAUUCUAUCUUUAACCCAAUAAAUCCCUAAUAUUAUUUUCAUUUCUUGCCAUUUCCUCGACUUUCUAAUCAACUAAACUGAAAUUUAACUCAACCUCCCAUUGCCUUCUAAUCACAAGAAGCUUAAAAGAAAAAAAAAAGGGUAACAGCAAUAAUACAUAUGUAUGGAACCUCAAAAUGCUCCAUCAACUCACAUCCAAUUUCUUCAACUUAAAAGUAACUAAAAUAAACCUUUCCCAUUAAAAAAAAAAAACUUACAGAAGUUUGAGUGUCCCAAGUGAGCCAAACAGUAGAGAAAUGGCCCCAGCCAAGCUUGCUCUGAACAACAUAUCGACCAUUCUUGAAAGUAUCACCAAUACGCACCGCAUGGUAACCUCCUCUCCUGUAAUCCUCGGUCCCCUCAUCCUCUGACGUAUAAUCACUCAACUCACUUGGAUCCCCGUUCUUAUCCUCCGCCAUUAGUUUAUACACAAAAUAUGGUUUCUUUGGCGGCUUCUUCAAGAACAAGAUAAAGAUCAAAUUAUUUCUUCAGAUUUCUAACAAAGCGAAAGAAUUAAAGACGACUCGGAUUAAAUCUUGAACUAGACAAGCUUUGAUGGAAGUUGAUUUGGGUGGUUGAUGGGUUGGUGGUAGUGGAGGAAAAUUGAGGAAUUAGGGUUUUUGAUUGAGAGUGUAUCUCAAGUCUUUGCCGGGAAAUUAAAGUAAAUCAAGCAAAAAAUAAUUGAGUACACGUGGCGAGUGGCAGCUGAAGGGUGUAUCUCGCGCGCUUACAGGCGCGGUCGGGAUGGUUUUUUUGCUCGGGAUGAGUGGGGCCAUUUGUAAUGGAUCAACUAUCAUGCGAGUCAGCGUGAUGAUUUGGAGAUGGAGCCAGACACAGGACAGCCACUCUGUCGUCAUUGCCCAUCCUUUCAUUGAGUUUUCACUGAGUUACUACUCAGACUCAAUCCGAGUUAGUGCAGCCCCGGCAAAUGCAAGUUGUGGUGUGUAGUUAGAGUUUUCACUGAUUGCAUUCGGAAUUAGGUGUGUCAAUCCAAACAACCAUAUCCCUGCUCGUGGGCUCAACUGUAUAUAUCGCGGAUGCUCUGAUCUCAGGCUUUCAGCCCAUUGCAAAUUUUCGAUUGAUGUCACGAGAUUGAUGAAAACUGUGCUUUCUUUUUUCUCUUUUCUUUUACUGAGAAGAUCAAUAAUAUACUUAUGGUCUUAAGGAUACAAGAAAAACAAUUUGUAUAAGUAUUAGGAUGCGUUUUAGAUUGAGGUUGGGUAGCUGUAGCUUAAAAGUUACAACACGAAAGUGUUUGGUAAACACUAAUUGCUGUAGCUAUCAUCGAAAAUCUAUUAUAUCUUUAAUAAUUUCGUCAAAAUUAUUAUUUAAAAUUUAUAUUUACUACAUACUACUAACUUUUGUUUCAUAAUUAUAGUUUUUUUUCUGACAAUAACUAUAAUUUAAAAGUUACAGUACCUCAAUCCCAAACACACCCUUAGUUGACGUGGAGUUUAAAUUUAUCAUUAAUGUGAGAAUCUUACACCCACUGACAAUGCGAUGUGCAUCAACUUUCGCGUAAUUUACAAGACAAAUUAACUACUUAAAUGUAACAUUAUUCCUAAACAUUACAUUGUAAAUUAGGUGCCCAUCUAGAGAUGGCAAAAAUACCCGCCCGGUCCAGACCCAGACCGUACCCGGGUGUUGCGGGCCGGGUAAUACCCGGCCCGGGUAUGAAGCCGGGUCGGUCUUGAGCAUCACUUGAUAAACCCGGAACUUGAAUUUUAUUAAAAAAAAUUAUAAAAUAUAUAUUAUUUUAAAUAUUUUAUAUUUAUUUGACUCAUUUAUUAUACAUAUAUAAAGUUUUAAACACUUAAAGUUUAUAUUUUCAUGUCAAAUUUUAUUGAAAUAAAUUUAAAACUUAUAAAAUUACCAAAAAAUAAAAAAUAUAUACACAUAAAAAAUUAAAAAACAUAAAAUUCGGGUACCCGGAUAAAACCCGGCCCGGACCCGGACCCAGACCGGUUGCAUUCGGGCAGCGUCCGGUCAUGGCAAUACCCGGACCUGGCCCGGGGUUUUGCCAUCUCUAUGCCCAUCAUCAAUUUUACAAAGAUAUAUGCCAGCUUUGUUCUUUGUUUGAGAAGUUCUUGAUAACAUCUUCGAAGGAGAUUAUUUUUCUAUACUAUCACAUUCUUUUAUCCAUUUAUCGUUCAUUCUUUAAAAAAUAUUUCCAAACAUUCAAAACAAACUUAUCAACCUAUUAGUAUGUGUGCCAAAAGAGGUCUUUUGAAUACGAGUUUUCACAUGCUUCGUUAUUAAGAAUUGUCGUCGCUCUUCUUUCCAAAAAGGAAAUAAGAAAAAUAAUAAUAAUAGCAGUAGGGCGAAGAAAUAAAGAAAAUUAUGAUGCGAAGGUCGAAUUUUUGAUGAUAAGUAUUCGUUUAAUCUUUAUAUUUUAAAAUAUACCUUGAAAUAUUUUUGUUGUUAUUUAUCAUUUUAUUUGUUUUGACAAUAGUAAGCUUGUAAUAAUACUGUAAUGAAAAUAAAUAUAUAUCAAUUUAUCAGAUUAACCCUAAAAAGUAAAAUAAUAAUAUUAUUAUCAUUAUUAUUAUGAGUUAUGAUAGAGCUACAAACUCUUGUACAUACUUAUUUAGGGUAAAAGCUCAUUUAGUCCCUAUAUUUUAAAAUUAGUAUCUAUUUUAAAAGCUCAUUUAGUCCCUAUAUUUUUAAAAAUACCUUGAAACAUCCUUGCCGUUAAAAUAUUGAUACCCAUACCGUUACUUUUUAUUUCUUUUGGUUUACUUUUACAAUAUUAUCCUUUUAUAAUAAUUUUUUAUUUGGACAUUAAUUAAAAAAUAAUUAAAUUACCAAUUUAACCCUAAAAAAUUAAAAAAUUAAUUUUUUUGUAAGCACCAUUUGCACACUUGGUGGUUUGCAUACAAUUUUUGACAAUUAAAAAUUAAUAUAAUUUAUUAUUUUUAUUUUUAGGGUUAAAUUGGUAAUUUAAUUAUUUUCUUUUUAGUAAUGUCCAAACAAAAAAAUUAUUAUAAAAGGGUAAUAUUGUAAAAGUAAGCUAAAAGAAAUAAAAAGUAACGGUAGGGGUAUCAAUACUUUAACGGCAGGGAUGUUUCGAGGUAUUUUAAAAAAUACAGGGACUAAAUGGAUGCUAAUCUUAAAAUAUAGGGACUAAAUGAGCUUUUACCCUACAAACUAAUUUGGCAUUAACUCAUUGGUUUAAUAAAAAUACAAAAUAAUAUAAACAAAUCAUGUGAACAGAGAAAUAUAAUCUAACCAAUUAAAUCAUGCCGUAUCAGUUUGUACACCAAAAAUUUGUACAAGAGUUUGUAGCUAUAUUAUUAUUCUAUUAUUAUCAUUAUAUAUUUUAUUUGUAAAUUAUUAUUAUGAUUAUACUUUUAUGGUUAUUUCAAUAAAUUAAUAUAUAUUUAAAUCUUAUUAUUGUAUUGUUACAAUAAUAUUAUUGUAUUGUGAUAAUUUAAUAUAUUUCAAUUAAUAAAUAAUAUCAUUUAUUUUAUUUGUAAAUUAUUAUUAUUUUACUUUUAUGGUUGAUUCAAUAAAUUAAUAUAUUUCUCGUCAUUAAUAUGUUAUUACAAGAGUAUUAUUGGAGCAACAAAUAAAAUGUAAGAGUAAGGGGUGUAACAUAAUUAAAAACAAAACUAAUGAAUUAAUAUUUUUAUAUUAAUAUCUCCAAAAUUAUUGGAAGGUAUAUAUUGCCAAACAAAUACAAAAAUAAGGACAAUAAUAUAACAUAUUAUAAUAUCUAAAUACAACGGCUAAACAUAUACUUAACCUAAAAUAUAAUAUCUAAAUGAGCGCUUAGCUGCUUAACAAACAUCACAUAAUUUAUAGUCAAGUGAUGUGCCAUCAAUCAAAGCUUAUGGUACAAUAUAACAAUAUCUUACACUAUCUAUUAGUUAAUAACAAGUCAUAUGUCAUAUCAUUUAAGACACAUUACAUAUUUGAAUUAUGUAUACAUAAUAUUACUAAUAAAAUUAAUUUUUUCUCUUUCCCUUGCUUCCACUAUUUUAUUUAUUUCUUUAUAUAUUUUUUGGAAUGAACAUUCCACCUUAAACAAACAAAUAAAGUCUUGACCAGAACAUUGGUAAGAUUCCUACGAAAAUGUAAAGCAAGACGACGCACUUUGGAUUGUGAAAAUGAAUAAAGCGAAGCAGGUUCUUUAUGCGUUCCUCGAUGUUGUAGUUCUCUUUUUCUUUUUUCACACCUUCACAAACUUGCACUCACAUAGAGUGAUAGAGAUAAGCGAAACUAGCUUUUGCCUUUGUUGAUCAAAUUUUAAAUCACUUAUUACGUGGCUUAAUUGAAAUUUUAUGCAUUUAUUUAAAAAUAAAAUAAAAAAUUAAGAAGUUGAUACAAAUAAAUAAAAAGGAAAAAGAAUUAGUUGCAUUAAUUAGAGCUGGCAAAAUGGGUCAUCGGGUCGUGUUCGUGUCGUGUCAGCUUCGUGUCGUGUCAAAUUUAGGUCGACCCAAACCCGACCCAUUUAAUAACCAUGUCAAAAUACUGAGACCCAAACCCGACACGAAAAAAUAAUCGGGUUACCCAAUAACCCGUUUAAUAUCUAUAUAUUGAACAAAAGUUACAUAAAAUAUUUACACACUAUCAUACAUACAUACAUACAUAAUUUAUCGAUAUUAUAAAAUAUAUAUAUCUACCAAUAUAUUACACACACUAUUGAGGUUUUAAUUAUAUAUAUAUAUAUAUAUAUAUAUAUAUAUAUAUAUAUAUAUAUAUAUAUAUAUAUAUAUAUAUAUAUAUAUCAAUAUUAUAAAAUAUACAUGUCUAUCAAUUUUUACACAUUUACACUAUUGAAGCUCUAAAUGUAUGUAAAAUUUUAUAAAUAAAACACUGUAUUUAUAUUCACCCUUUUAAAGAAUAAAAAAAAGAAAAUCAUCUCUAAUAUUUGAGUUUUAAUUAUAAGAAUAUGUAAAUUAUUUUUAAGUAGAAAAUAUAAUCGGGUCAUUGAUCGGAUAAAUGGGUCAAGAAUUUUAACCCAAACCCGACACGGAAAAAAAUCGUGUUGACUCGAACCCGACCCAUUUAAUAAUCGUGUUAAAUUUGACGACUCAUACCCAUUUAUUUAUGUCGUGUUCGUGUCGGGUAAUAGAAUCGUGUCAAAUUUUACCAGUUCUAUCAUUAAUUACAUACCUUACUUUGUAUGGGAUAAUAAUUAAAGAUUUAUUGAUAAUUGCGCAUCAAGUCCAACUCUAAUUGCUUUUAAACUACGCAAUUAAGUAAAUACAGGUCCUAUCAACGCGCUCUGCGACAUACAUAACAGCAUGGCGUUUAAAGAGCCUAAUGCCAUAUGCAAAAUAUUGAUUGACGAAAAAAAAAAAAAAAAAAGCUCAUUUGACAAUUCAUUUAAUAGUUUUAACUAAAGAUCCUGGCAUAAUUAAAUAUUACAUAAUAAAGAAAGGUAAAGUAUAAAGAAAAGAUUGUUAAGGAAAGAGGGGGAAAAGAAGGUAUAAAAGGAAGAAGAUGCUUAGCUUACUUUUUGUGUCAUUUAGAAUGUACGGUGACCGGGUGUUUCCAUAUCAUUUUAAUCUAUAAAAGAGAUUGAUCACUAACAAUGUCAAUCUGUACUCUUUACGUAAAUUAUGGAGAGACCUCUUUCUUUUCUUUGAGAUAUAUGGUCUUUGAGGUAUAUGGGUGGAUAAAGUUAAAAUUAAAAUUUUGACUUCUAUCUUAUUUGGGAUUUAAAUUUGAAUGGUCGGCUAAAUAAAUUUGUUUGAAAAUUACCCGACCAAUUCUUACAAAACAAGAGAGUCAUGUUUACUUUAAUAUUUUUGCUAAUUUUUUGUUCAAUUUUUACUGAGUAUUGAUACUUAAAUCCUACGAAGAUAACAUCAAAAUAGAAUUGAUAUUGUUAUUCAUGCGAUAGUACCAUUGUAGUACACAAAAUGAAGACACUGUUCAUACUAAAAUACUGAUGUUUUUGUCAUAGUGGUGUCCCCUUAGUGAUCAAAUAUUAUUUUUUGUUUUUAUCAUAUGUGAAUUAAUAUAAUAGUAUUUUUAUUAUUGGUGAAAAAACAUUAACUAUAAGAGGUGAAUAUAUCAUAAAUUUUAAUAGAAAUUUGAACAGAGAUUCUAAUAUUUGAGUCACAACUUGAGUCCUAAUACUAUGCAUCUCUCAUCUAUUGGAUGAUAAAUUUUAUAGUUAGUAAAAUUAUUUAACUAUUAUUCAAUAAAUGAAUAUUAUAUUAGUUGAGACUUAAUUGAGACUUAAAUGUUGAGAUACUUAUCAUUACUCAAAUUUAAAUAAUUCUCUUAAACACAACUAAACUUCUACUUCAUAUAUAUAUAUAUAGCCGUUUAUACCAGGGGCGGAUCCAGGAUUUGAAAGUACCCCGGGCUAAAUUUAAAAGGAAGGUUAUAUUGUAAAGUGAACAUAAAAUUUUAUAAGAAAAAAAUAAAAUACACAUAAUAAGAUAAGAGCAUUAGAAAUCUUACACUAAAUAAUAAUUACUUUAAACAAAAUAAUUAUAUAAAAAUAAAAAAUAAAAAUGUAGUCAAAACAAAAAUAUAACUAAAAUUGUACUUUUCGCGGCUUCAAACAAUAAAAUUCAUCAAUUAUGGAUUCUGGAACAAUAGUAUCUGCAAUUUCUCUUUCAACAUAGACAACCAUACAAUUUGAAAGAAACUCAUUUUCCAUCUUAUUGCGAAGUGAUGUCUUGAUAAGGCUCAUGGCUGAAAAUGCACGCUCUGUUGUGGCUGUAGACACUGGAAGAGUCAACACUAGACGAAUUAAUCUAUCAAUCAAGAAAUAGUGUUGUGACUUCUUUGUUUCAAUUAAUCUCCUCAUUCAUUGUUGCUAACAACUUGAUUAAUUCAAUAAAAUUUUCACGAUUAAGAGAAUUAACUGACUCAUCAUGACCUCUAAAAGCACAAGCUUGUUUUGCUAACCACUUGGUAGCUAUUAUUGAGGUUUUUAGCCGCAACCUAUUCUCUAAAAUUUGUUGUGAAGAUUGUGCAUUCAUUCUUUUAUCAAUAUGUUUACAUGGAUCCUUUAAAUUGCUCCAUUUUUCCAUGGCGGCAUUGUGAAAAGAACCAUGACUCCCUUCAUGCAGUGCAAAAGGACAUUUUUUGUCACAAGAAACAUACUUCCAAUUUUGACAACCAUCAACAAUGAAUGCAUCAAACUUAGUUGAUGUAUCAUAAAAAAGAAAGCAUGGAAAACAAAAUGCUUUAUCUUUUGACAAGGAAAUUUUGAGAACCAAGAAAAUUGAAAUCGACGAUUUUGCAUAUCAUGUUUGGUUGGUGGGUAUUUUUGUAGCUCGGGUUGGAAUGGUCCCAUAUUUAUGUACGCCAUCCGUACAUCUUCUCGUUUAUCAAUAUGAUAAGUUUUGAUUGAGAAGCGUAAUCCGGGAUCACGUUCUAAAUAAGGGGUGUCAAUACUAGUUGGAGUAUCAACUUUCUCAAAUUCAGCUCUUUGAGAUUUAAGAGAACUUGAGGCAUCAAUAUUGCACGGAGAACUUGUUUCAUUUGAUGAUUGACCGCCAUUUACUUUGGCAAAGAAUGAAAGUAGAGUUUUCCUCGGCUUGGAUUUAUCGGACAUUAUAACCUAUAAAUUACCAUAACAUGAAACUACAUAAGAAUUAAUAAAUUAAUUAAUAAUUACAAUUUACAAGCUUAAUUAGCAUGCUUAAAUAAAUUAAACAAUUCAAUUUUUUUCAUCUUUUCCAUUAUAAAAAAAAUUAUUAGUGAAAAAAUAACCAUAAUAAAUCAACUCAAACUAAUAAAUCACAAAACUUAUUAAAAAAAAGCCAAUCAAAUAUUCAAAAUAAUAUAUUAAAAUAAUCUGUAAAAUAAAUCAUUUAGUUUGAAACUAUAACAUGAAACUACAUAAGAAUUAAUAAAUUAAUUAAUAAUUACAAGCUUAAUUAGCAUGCUUAAAUAAAUUAAACAAUUUAAUUUUUUUUCAUCUUUAAUUAUUAAGCCAAUCAAAUAAUUUAAUUAUUAAAAAAUUAAUAAUUCCAUUUUAAAAGUUGUACAGCUAUUAAAUUCAAUUUGCUUGAGUUUUACCAGGACAUAUAUGGAUAGCAAUCAAAAUUGAAACUUUACAAACUAAUGAAUCAAAACAAAUUACAGAGCAAAUCAGCAAAACCAAUCACAAAAACUAAAUAGCCAAUUACAAAUUCAAAAUAAUGAAUCAAAAUAAAAUAUAGAGCAAACUAGUAAAAUCCAUCACAAAAAAAUAAGAUUUUUAUAUAAGUUGUGAAAGCAUACCAGUAGAAAAAUAUGCAAAGCCCAAGAAAUUGGAAGACGAAACAGAUGAAGAAUCGUGAAGAGGACAAUCGAUUUUUUUAAUUCUUGGCUUUGAGAAUUGUUGUCGGUUGAGAGUAAAGAAAAAGUGAAUUAGGUAAAGAUUCUUUCCUUUUUUUUAGUUUCAAUGGCACUCUUGUAAUUAAUUAUUAGUGGCAUGAUUGUAAUUUUAACUAACAUAUUUAAUUUUUUUCCUUUUCUAUACCGGGCUACAGCCCGGUAUAGCCCACUAAUGGAUCCGCCUCUGGUUUAUACAACAUAAAUAAUGGCGGAACCAAAAUUCUAGCUCGGUGAGAUAUUAAUAUAUAAAAAUGACACCGUGUGUUAUAAACAGUGAAUUUUGAGAGUGCUGGAUUUUAAGUUUACGCAGACAUGAACUAAAUUUUAGUUCAAUCCCGUGUGUUUUUCUCAAAAUCUCCGACCCCGAUCAUUAAGUACAGUACGUUCUCAUAUCCGCUGCAGCAUUUCUAGACUCUUGGAAGUGGUCCCAGACAUUUAACCCAUUUAUCCUUAAAAUCCUGAGUCAAAAGGAUUUGGUGUCCUUGCGGGCCCCACCAAGGAAACAAUAAAAAACCAAAAACAUUGACGGUGAAUAGUCAAUACCGCGAAGCGGAAAGCCCCUUCGUUCAGAAGUUGUUUGCAUGAUGACAUCAUGAGUAUACUUGGAAUCAUCUACAACGUGCUAUUCCACCUCUCCUCCCAUAGACGCUAAGCUUUCUGCGGUGCCGCCCAGUUUUUUUCUUUAUUAAUUAUUAAUGUUGUAUGCCGAUGAAGCCGCUUUUCGCUGGACACGUGCACUUGAAGAAGAGGGUCGUGUUGGCUUUCGCGUCAUUUGCCAUUUCAAAGGAAGCGCUUCUCUAUCGCUUACGUGCAAAAGGCCUGCUUCCGCACUCAUGCUGUGUUCGAGGAUACUGACCAGACAAAAACGGAUGCACACAUGCUGUGUUCGAGGAAUCAGAUUUUUUCUUUCUUCUUUUUGGCUCUUUUCCGUACAGCGGGAGCAAGUGGCAAACACUUUCGAUUAUCAAAUUAAGGAGCUGGCUAAGUUACAGAUUCUGUAAGGUAGCUACCAAAUGGGGUAGCCAUCAAUUAAAGGCUUUAUCUUCUGUAAAUGGGGUCCACAGGUGGACAUGGCUUGGGCGCCUUCAGCUCGAUUACCUCGAUUUUUAGGAAAAGCGCCGCCCAAAAGCUAAUGGUUGGAUUUGUCGUCAUGGGCGCCCAGACCUAGAGGACUAGAGGAGUAGCUGCGAGAGAAAUGAGUUACUCGCCGGGACAUUUCGACGCGUAUCAAGUUUUUUAAAAGCCGCAUCUGUAGAAUUCCCGCAAAGCUAGAGUCAGCCGGGAAUAAAAGGCUGCUGGUUCAACCUGCGCUCUUGGAAAUUUUCACUCGUUCCAAAUUCCCAAUCACCCUCUGUUCUUUCACUGUGAUUACAUCCACUGUCCCCCAAUCGUCUGAUAUUUAUUUUUGCAGUUACAUUUACACGUCAUUAGAAUAAAGAGUCGGGUAGUGUUUGGUGUAGAAAAAAAAAAGAGAAAAAGAAAGAAGAAAGAAAUUUGUUUCCUUUCUUUCUUUCCUUUUCUUCAUUAUUUCUCCCAUCUUUCUCUCACCUUUCUCUCCGCUCAGCAUUUUUCUAUUUCCAUUACACUUCCUCUCCUCUCCUCUCCUGUCUCCUUGUCCCCUGUUUCUCCUCAAGUCAUCGCUCUCGCUUUUUUUGUGUGACCAUCACUUUGGUUCCUCAAAGUUUUCUCUCUCAUUUUACCCUUUUGUUUUCGACAAUGUCUCGACGUGGUGGCGGUGGUCGUAGGCCGGAUUCUCGCCAUGACCAGCCGACUCAGGCACCAGCGCCGCCAUUCCAGCGCGGUACUGAUCGUGGAUCGCAUUACGGCUCCGGUGCAGCCCCGUCCUCAUCACACGCAGCUUCUACUUCGACGGCGCCGGCUCCUUCAUCUCCGUCUAUUUCUGCUUCUGCCCCUUCUUCUUCUUCAGUUUCUACUCUUGUCGAAGAAACGGAGCAGAAACUGACAUUGGCGGCACUGGCGGCGGCUACUCCUCCGCCUUCGUCGUCGCAGGCGGUGGGAUUUCCGGUGAGGCCGGGAUUUGGAACUGUAGGCAGAAAAUGUGUUGUCAGAGCAAAUCACUUUAUGGUGCAACUUGCCGAGAGAGACAUUCAUCACUAUGAUGUAAGUCUACUUUUAAUUUUAAUUUUAUUACUUUUGAAAACGUUUUGACUGUUUUUAUUUUUUAUUUUUCAGUUUUUGUCAGUUUUGAUUUUAUUUAAGAUUCACCAUUCGUGAGCGUUGAAUUCGAAGGUGUCGGGGUUUUGUUGAUAUUUUAAAAAUAUGUUUAUGGUUUUCCUUAUUUAUUUAUUUAUUUAUUUUUUAAGGUUUCAAUUACUCCCUGGGUGACUUCAAGAAAAAUCAACAGACAAAUUAUUUCUCAGCUGAUUAAUUUAUAUCGGCUGACUGACUUGGGUGAACGAAUACCUGCCUAUGAUGGUAUGAAGAGCAUUUACACAGCAGGGCCACUGCCUUUUGAAUCGAAGGAGUUCAUUAUCAAUUUACCUGAUAGUGAUCCUCGUCCCAGCUCGUCUACCAGGCUGAGGUAUCUCGUGCUUUUAACAUGUGUGUUUCUUGAAUAUUGUUGAUUAUGAAUUUUCUUGAUUUAAUGUGUUGAGUGAUUUGUCAUUGAGAAGGGAGCGCCAGUUUAGGGUGGUUAUCAGAUUGGCUUCGAAGCCUGAUCUUUACACUCUACAGCAGUUCUUACGCCGUAGGCAUUUUGAAGCUCCGUACGAAGUUAUACAAGUGCUUGCUGUUGUUCUCAGAGCAGCUCCAUCAGAGAAGUAUUUAACCUUAACUGUGUUAAUAAAAGUUUCACUUCUUGGUAUGUAUGAUAUAGGAUUUUCCCUGCCCAUGCGAGCAUUUGCUUGUUCAUGCAACUGAUUUAAUAUUUGAUUUCUGAGGGACAAUUUUAUUAUUUUCUAUUUUGUGUCUUGAACAAUUUGGGUUUUAGAAUGGUUAAUUAAUGAAAUGAUGAACUUCUGCAUCAGGCAUACAGUUGUGGGGAGGUCAUUUUUCUCUACUGAUCUUGGACCAAUGGGUCAGCUUGGUGAUGGCGUUGAAUAUUGGCGUGGAUAUUUUCCGAGUCUUCGCCCAACCCAGAUGGGACUAUCUCUUAAUAUUGGUAUUUCUCAUUAUAUUUUAUAUAAUUUGAUGCUGCUUAUCUUUUAUAUUAUGCAAGCUUGAUCUUGUUUUAGGUGCAAUGUUGCUACAUAAAUAUUUGUUUUUGCUGUUGCAGAUGUUUCAGCCUGCUCCUUUUAUGAGCCAAUUCUAGUUACUGAGUUUGUUCGGAAUUAUUGCAGAGACUUAUCACAUCCUCUUUCUGAUCAAGUGCGUCUGAAGGUAUUGUCUAGUCUUCUUUGGUUAUGUCUUGGUUAUGUGUUUGUGAUAAGAGCCUUUUCAAAGAAUGAUCACAGAUUUGUUAGGCAAACAUUUCGGUAAUGUUUUGGAUGUUCAGUAAUUAGUAGUUUAAAAUUUGAAAUUUCUUGCAAAUUUUGGAUAGGGUAAUUUCUUGAUUUAUGGCUGAGCUGGAGGGUAUUGAGUGAGCUCCCAAGUCUAAGGCAAAUAGAACGUGGUUUGAUGAUCAAUGUAGGGAACUGGUGUAUAAUUUGGCCUAUAAUUCUGAUGGCAAAGAAAUGAGACCUUGAAAUGGUGGUUUUAAGAAUUUUCCAUGCAUUCAUUUGCAAUUGUGCAGUUAUAUUAAUCAACUUAUUAUCAUUCUGUUACAUAUUUUAGCAAUCUUUUGAACUAUCUGUAAAAUUUUUAGUUUCGAUCUAUUUUGGCUGCUAAUUGACAACUGCCCAUUAAUUAUUUUAAAAAAUUAUUGUUGGUAAUGGGGUAGAGACACAUGCUCAAUGUUAUUAAUGCGAUUGUUUAAUUCCUGACUUCUAGGUGAAAAAGGCGUUGAAGGGAAUAAAGGUCGUGCUCACGCAUAGGGAGUAUAACAAUAGUCACAAGAUCACCGGCAUAUCCAGUCAACCAAUGAGCCAACUCAUGUAUGUGUGUUUGUAAUUAACUGACAUACAAGCAUAAAAAAUUUGUCCAUUUGUGGUGACACAGUGUGAUAAUGUAACAUGGUGGUUUUGAUUGUGUUUAUGUUACUUGAUUUGUUUAUGUUAGCUGAUUCUUGAGUCCCCCUGGCCAUUCUAGAUGAAUACUUUAUGAUGUCUUAUGUUGUAUUUUCUGUAUGAUUGAUGAACUUACUUGGUGGCAAAAUUUUUGGCAGAUGUGCCUCAAAACAAUUUCUCAAAUCUGAUAUGUGAUAGUAGUUGGCUUCUAUGUUCUGCGAUGGUGACUUGAUAUUGCCUGUAACAGUGAUGUAUCCCUCCCUCCAUGUUAUAGUAGGCAUUCAUGUUAUAUCUUCCCUUUCAUUGUGUUUGCUAGGUUUACUGAUGACAGUGCGACAAGGAUGUCGGUGAUUCAAUAUUUUCAUGAAAGAUAUAAUAUUGCGCUUCAAUUCACGUCAUUGCCUGCCCUACUAGCUGGAAGUGAAGCGAGGCCUAUUUAUUUGCCAAUGGAGGUUCUAUGAUCAAAAGAUUACUUUCAUUUUUUUUUUUUUGUCUGGAAAAUAAUUUAUUUAAGACCUAUUUAUAGAAUAUUUUGGUUUACAGCUUUCUAGGAUUGUCGCAGGGCAGAGAUAUACUAAAAGAUUAAAUGAAAGACAAGUAAUUGCUCUUUUAAGAGCAACUUGUCAGCGUCCUCGGGAGCGUGAAGAAAAUAUAAGGAUGGUAGAGUGUCGUUGUAAUUUCUUAUGUCUGUGGUGGAUCUUUUUUGGAUGAUUAAUCUAGGAAUUAUCUUCUUGUGAACAAAGAGAGUUUCUGAUUCUUGCUUCUGGGUUUGACAUUCUUCUGCAGAUGGCUAGGGCAAAUGCUUACAAUGAAGAUACUCUUGUGAACAAAGAGUUUGGAAUUCAAGUGGCUGAUGAUCUUACAUCGGUUGAUGCUCGAAUCCUACCUGCUCCAAUGGUAAUUAUGUGUCCUUUUUUCUUCUGUAAGAGCAUUAUAGUACUUCCAAUCUCCUUAUGAUUAACUUUACCUCCUAAAAUGCUGCAGCUUAAAUAUCAUGAAACUGGCCGAGAAGCAAGCGUGAAUCCUGGUUUUGGGCAAUGGAACAUGAUUAACAAGGUGAAUGAUUAUUAUUUUAUUCCAUAGUUGGUGAUUUCUGCUUAGGAAGAGCAUAAGGAAGCAGUUACCACUUGUUUAAAUUGGUUGAGGGAUGUGUACUGACUGAUGGGUAGGAUGGGUUGGAAGUUGAAUUGCCGCAUUUGAUGCAAUGUGGUUGUGCUGCGUUUCUUUUGCAACCUUUAUUUUAUUUUAUUUUUUCCAUUUUAGCAUGCUGUAAUUUCUAUUUAGUUAUAUACUUUUUCAUCUUUGAAAAGCAUUGUAUUUGAUAUUCACUUAGGUAUUUGGAUUGUAUGUGCUUGGUGUUCAGCUCAAUCCACUCUGCCUUCUGAACGAGGAGCUUUUAUUUACCCACACUGAAUUAUUUUGUGUAAUUUUGGUAUUAUAGAAAAUGUUCAAUGGUGGGAGGGUGGAAGUUUGGACUUGUGUGAACUUCUCCACCCGUUUGAAUCAGGACGUGGCAUUCCAGUUUUGUCAGGGGUUGGUAGACAUGUGUAAUAGCAAGGGGAUGGUAUGGUAAUGUUAUUUAUUUUGCAAUUCAUGUUAGCAAUUCAGGUUAAUGGCCUCUCUAAACCUACUUUUUUCUUUUGGGGGGGUCUGUGUUUAUCAUGCCAGGUAUUUAACCCGCGGCCUGUCAUUCCCAUAAGUUCAUCCAACCCAAAUCAAAUUGAGAAGGCACUUGUAGAUGUUCACAAUCGGACUACACAGCAAGGGAAACAGCUUCAGCUGUUGAUAAUUAUUUUACCUGAUGUUAGCGGAUCAUAUGGUGAGUGAUAAAUUUAAUCCAUGAUUAAAUUUCUAUAUCAGCUUUGGUUUUGUUCAACAUUAUCAGCUUUCUGCUCGCAGGAAGAAUUAAAAGAGUUUGCGAAACGGAACUUGGGAUUGUUUCACAAUGCUGUCAGCCUAGACAGGCAUCAAGGCUCAAUAUGCAGUAUUUUGAAAAUGUGGCUCUUAAAAUCAAUGUGAAGGUUUGGUUUGCCCCCAUUUUUUUGCCUGUUCAUUACCAUGGUUGAUAUUUACAAAUCCAAGGGUUAGUGGGAAAACAUGUAGGAGAUGAUUUUUUUUUUUUUUGGCAAUUUAAUUUCAGUCUUGAUUUGCUCGAAUUAUUGUAAUUUUUUUUUUUCAAAUAAUCAAAUUCUGAUGUUCAAGAUUUUUUUUUUAAGAGUUUGGGAGUGCCAAAAUUUCUUGUUAAAAUUGAUAGGUUUGUUUCCUUAGUACCGGAGACUCAGUUUGCUAUUUGUAAUUUUAUCAGGUUGGGGGACGAAACACUGUGCUCGUUGAUGCUGUUCAGAAAAGAAUUCCUCUUGUGACUGAUAGACCUACAAUUAUAUUUGGUGCAAAUGUCACCCAUCCACAACCAGGAGAAGACUCUAGCCCUUCUAUAGCGGCUGUAUGUACACUCGUCUUUUGUUUCUGCUUUCUAGUAAUUCACUCUGUUAAAAGAUUGAAUUGACUGAGACAGGUGGUGGCCUCAAUGGAUUGGCCAGAAGUAGCCAAGUACAGAGGGCUUGUCUCUGCUCAGGCACCCCAUGAGGAAAUUAUCCAAGAUCUCUAUAAAUCUAUUCAAGAUCCUCAAGGGGGUUUAGUUCAUGGAGGAAUGAUCAGGUUAGUAGACAUGGAAGUACAUAUCAGGUGCCUUAAUUAAGAGAAACUUAUGCUUCUGUUUGUCUUUUACAGGGAACUGUUAAUUGCCUUCAGAAGAUCAACCAACUUUAAACCUCACAGGAUUAUUUUCUACCGGUAAUUGCUGUUUUCAAUGUUAAACUGUUUGUUUUGUAGAAUGUUACUGAUGUUGUUUCAUUUAUGUGCCAGAGAUGGUGUUGGUGAAAGGCAGUUCAGUCAGGUUUUGCUCCAUGAAAUGAAUGCUAUCCGACAGGUAAUGCUGAUGAUUCCUGAAGUUAAAAUGAUUUUCUUGUGUUCAAGAGAUUUUCAUUAUCUAGCUUCAGUUAAUGCCUUUAUGAUAGCUUUUGUUGCAACAUGCUAAAUUGAUUUAUUUCCAGGCCUGUGCCUCACUUGAGGAGGGAUAUGCGCCACCAGUUACGUUUGUUGUGGUACAGAAAAGGUGUCGUACUCGCCUUUUUCCUGCUGAGAACAACAGAUGCGAUCUGACAGAUAGGAGUGGAAAUAUUUUACCAGGUUCCAAGUUUGCUUUGUAUUAUUAAUCUUUAUAUCCUAUUUGCUUCUUUUGACUAUUCACAACAGCUGGGAACCAUGUCGUUGCCUAACCUUGUGUUUGACGAUUGUUUUUGGGAUGUCCUUGUGUUAGGAACCGUUGUUGAUACUGAAAUUUGUCAUCCUACAGAAUUCGAUUUUUACCUCAACAGUCAUGCAGCAAUUCAGGUAAAAAAUAAGUUUGCUCUUUCAAUCCAAAUUUUAUCCAUCUAGACUUACUCUCGAUGAACAUUGUACACUUUUUUUUUUUUUUCCACCUAUAAUUUUUAAAUGCGUUGGACUGACUAAGGUGUUUAUUCCAGGGAACCAGUCGACCAACUCGCUACCAUGUAUUGUAUGAUGAGAACCGUUUUACUGCAGAUGGCCUGCAAGUGUUAACAAAUAACUUGUGUUACACGUAAUAUGUUUACCUUCUCUAUAACUGGAUUUAAUAUUGCAUUGUUGAAGAAUUUAUCUUUGGAAUGGUUAUUCUGUAAGUUUUGACUCAUGGCCCAUUUUCAGGUACGCAAGGUGUACUCGAUCAGUUUCCAUAGGUCUGAUCCUCGUACUUCUGUUGCUUUCCUAAAAACAUUUUCAAUCAAUGAAUUAUUUAUUACUCUGGCAAGCAUUGAUUAUUUUUUAAUUUUUAUUGGUUGAUUUCAUAUGGCAGUGCCUCCUGCAUAUUAUGCAUAUUUAGCAGCUUUUCGGGCUCGUUAUUAUAUCGAGGAUGAAACAUCUUCUGGUGGAUCCACAGAUGGGAACAGGAGCACGGCAGAGAGGAAUUUGGCUAUCCGGCCACUUCCCGUCAUCAAGGAUAAUGUGAAAGAUGUAAUGUUUUAUUGCUGAAAGUAGUCUUCAGCCUUUAUCUCUUAUGUCAUGGUUUUCAUAAAGGCUUGACCUAUUUUGGUAGACGGAGAACCAGCGUUUUGCAUUUUUGGACCGUACUGUUAUUUUGGGAGUAGUUUCAAAUUCGACAUCUAGAGUAGAAACUACUUAUCCUCAGCUUAAAAAUAUAAGCCGCAUGUUCUCCCAGUUAAUGCCUUGUCAAUUUAAAUGCAAAACAACUCCAUACAUAUUUUGUCCAUAAGGGUAUUGAACUGUGUAUGCUUCCUUUUUUUCCUUCAAUUACACCUUAUUCCUCCUGGACGGUGGCUUCUGAAUUACUUUCUUUGCUUUUUGAGAGUUAAAGCAAUUCCGUUGCUUCGUCCACUUUAGCCGCCAACGACUCGGGUGAAUCCAGCAACGCCAGCAGCUCGGAGUGAUCCCUUUCCAAAAGCAUCUCAGUAAUCUUUAGUGCGAGAUCAUACUGUCCAACAGUUAAAUGUAAAUAGAACUAAACCAAAGCUCAAAGCAGGUGAAAAUUAUAAGUACAUUUGCAGAAGGUUAAAUUUUAGUUUACUAGAAUGACAAUUUACUAUUUACCUCAAAAAUAUGAAACAUCAAUUUAUUCCCUUUUACGGUUAAGAAGACAAAAGGAAUUCAUUAAUGCAGUAUUCAUCUAUCCUCAUCUUUUGAACGACAAUGAAAGUAAAUUAAAAAUUAUCAUUCUAUCUGGGGGAUAAAUCGAAGUUGACCCUUCGCAGAAUUAAGAUUAAUCACCGUGAGUUUCUUCAUCAGCGGGCAGAGUCUUUAGCCAAGGAUAUUUUUCCUUUGAUCAGGGGAAGCAGCAGCAAGCAUGCUGCUCAAAUAUUCAUUGGAAGCAGCAGCUCUUUGACUCCCAUUUGUCAGGUUGUUGGCAGCAGUUUGCCCGGCCCUCUAAAAUAAUGGUCAUAUGAAGUAAACAGUUAUUAAGAAGCAUUUUGUUUCAAAAAGCAAAUGGAAUACAAUUCAUUUGGUAUCAAGUAGAAAAGGCAAAAAAGGAAAAAAAAUAAUAAUCUUGUACACUCUAAAAUAAUGGAAUACAAUUCAUUUGGUUUCAAAAAGCAAAUGGAAUACAAUUCAUUUGGUAUCAAUUCAUUUAUUUUAGAGUGGCCCUCUAAAAUAAUGGCCACUCUCCCUCUCAAAUCUUGAUCCCUUUUUCCUUUUUACAGAUGCUGUAAGCUACUUUUCAUUUUACUGUUCAAGAGGGGCGGUAAAGCUAGCCGCCCUGCCCUUUUUAUUAUUUAUAUACACGCCCUCUUUUCCUCCCUCCUCCUCUCUGACACUUACUUUCUCCUCAAGCAAUCGCCCUCUCUUACUUUCUCCUCAAGUAAUCCAUCACUUCGGUUCCUCAAAAUUUUUUUCUCUCUCAUUUUACCUUUUUGUUUUCGAUAAUGUCCCGACGUGGCGGCGGUGGUCGUAGGCCGGAUUCUUGCAGUGACCAGCCGGCUCAGGCACCGGCGCCGUCUUUCCAGCGCGGUGGUGGCGAAGCCGCUGGACCACCGGGCCGAGGGCAUCAAGGUCAACGUGGCGGUACUGGUGGUGGAUCGCAUUCUGGUUCCGGUGCAGCCCCUUCCUCAUCACACGCAGCUUCGACUUCGACAGCGCAGGCUCCUUCAUCUCCGUCUGUUUCUGCAUCUGCUCCUUCUUCGUCUUCAGUUUCUACUCUUGUCGACGAAACUGAGCAGAAACUGACAUUGGCGGCACCAGCGGCGGCUACUCUUCCGCCUUCGUCGUCGCAGGCAAUGAGACUUCCGGUGAGGCCGGGAUUGGGAACUGUUGGCAGAAAAUGUGUUGUCAGAGCAAAUCACUUUAUGGUGCAACUUGCCGAGAGAGACAUUCAUCACUAUGAUGUAAGUCCACUUUUAAUUUUAGUUUUGUUAUUUUUGAAAACGUUUUGACUAUUUUUAUUUUUUUUGUUUUCUCGUCAAUUUUGAUUUUAUUUAAGAUUCACCAUUCGUGAGCGUCGACAUCGAAGGUGUCGGGGUUUUGUAGAUAUUUUAAAAGUAUGUUUAUUGUUUUGCUUAUUUAUUUAUUUAUUUUUUAAGGUUUCAAUUACUCCAGAGGUGACGUCAAAAAAGAUCAACAGACAAAUUAUUUCUCAGCUGAUUAAUUUAUAUCGGCUGACUAACUUGGGUGAACGAAUACCUGCCUAUGAUGGUAUGAAGAGCAUUUACACUGCAGGGCCGCUGCCUUUUGAAUCGAAGGAAUUCAUUAUCACGUUACCUGAUAGUGAUCCUCGUCCCAGCUCAUCUACCAGGCCGAGGUAUCUCUUGCUUUUAACACGUGUGUUUCUUGAAUAUGUUGAUUGUGAGUUUUCUUGAUUUAAUGUGUUGAGUGAUUUCUUAUGCAGAAGGGAGCGUCAGUUUAGGGUGGUUAUCAGAUUGGCGUCGAAGCCUGAUCUUUACACUCUACAGCAGUUCUUACUCCGUAGGCAUUUUGACGCACCGUACGAAGUUAUACAAGUGCUUGAUGUUGUUCUCAGAGCAGCUCCAUCAGAGAAGUAUUUAACCUUAACUGUGUUAAUAAAGUUUCACUUUUUGGUGUGUAUGAUAUAGGAUGUUCCCUGCCCAUGCCAGCAUUUGAUUGUUCAUGCAACUGAUUUAACAUUUGAUUUCUGAGUAACAAUUUUAUUAUUGUCUAUUUUGUGUCUUGAACAAUUUGGGUUUUAGAAUAGUUAAUUAAUGAAAUGAUGAACUUCUGCAUCAGGCAUACAGUUGUGGGGAGGUCAUUUUUCUCUACUGAUCUUGGACCAAUGGGUCAGCUUGGUGAUGGCGUUGAAUAUUGGCGUGGAUAUUUUCAGAGUCUUCGCCCAACCCAGAUGGGGCUAUCUCUUAAUAUUGGUAUUUCUCAUUAUAUUUUAUAUAAUUUGAUGCUGCUUAUCUUCUAUAUUAUGCAAGCUUGAUUUUGUUUUAGGUGCAGCACUGCUAUAUAAAUAUUUGCUCUUGCUGUUGCAGAUGUUUCAGCCUGUUCCUUUUAUGAACCAAUUCUAGUUACUGAGUUUGUUCAGAAGUAUUGCAGAGACUUAUCACAUCCUCUUUCUGAUGAAGUGCGUCUGCAGGUAUUGUCUAGUCUUCUUUGGUUAUGUCUUGGUUAUAAUUAAUUUAGUAUCAAUUUAAUGAGCUAUCUAUUAGGCGGUUAAAAGUUUUAAUUGAGGGCUGCAGCCCCCUAAUAUAUUUGUGAUAAGAGCAUUUUCAAAAAAUGAUCACAGAUUUGUUAGGCAAACAGUUCAGUAAUGUUUUGGACGUUGUGAAUAAUUUAUUGAUUCAAUAUUUACUUAGUUUAAUUUUUUUAGUUAACUAAUAAUAUAAAUGUUAGGAUUUAUAUACAUAUAUGCAGACACAUUGAUAGGGAAGAACCCAAAAAUUUUAUCUAGGAGAGGCUUAGUAUGAUACAAUUGCAAAAAAACUUUCAACAAAAAAUGAUAGGUGUCAAAUUAUUGAAUUUCAUUGAAUUACUGAUUUUCAACAUAAUUACGGUUUUUCUCGACUCAUUUGUAGUUUUAUAAAAUUACAUACUAUAAUAACUUCAUUGUCAACUUAAUUAAAAAUUUGAAGUUUGAACUAUAGAUUGUUGUUUGUUAUUUUCAAGUAAUAACUUAAAUUAAUAUAAAUAUUUGAGGCAAACAUAAAAAACUUAUCAUAUAUAGUAAGAAAUCUAGUUGAUCAAAUAAAUCCAACUCAACUAUUUAAAAAGUUAAAGCCGGUGACUUAAAAAAUAUGAUAUUUUUAAAAAAUUAAAGUUAUGAGAUAGACAAUUGUGUCAAUCAAUUAAGUCAUGACUUGAGCACCACUUUCAAGUCCAUAACACAUAACAAACUAAUAAAUGGACUAAAUAUAUAACAUAUUUAAAAGGAAAAUUUAUAAGUCUAGAAGGGGGUUUAAAUUAUUAAAUAGACCAAAUAAUCGUGAAUCGUACUUGGGCCUACUUUUCAUUUUACUGUUCAAGAGGGGCGGUAAAGCUAAGCCACCCUGCCCUUUUUAUUAUUUAUAUACGCGCCCUCUUUUCCUCCCUCCUUCUCCCUGACACUUACUUUAUCCUCAAGUAAUCGCUCUCCCGCUUUAUUUGUGUCACCAUCAUUUCACUUCGGUUCCCCAAAAUUUUCUCUCAUAUAUUUACCUUUCUGCUUUCGACAAUGUCUCGACGUGGUGGCGGUGGUCGUAGGCCGGAUUCUCGCCUUGACCAGCCGACUCAGGCACGGGCGCCGUCAUUCCAGCGGGGUGGCGGCGGAGCCGCUGGACCACGCGGCCGAGGUCGUCAAGGUCAACGUGGGGGUGCUGGUCGUGGAUCGCAUUCCGGCUCCGGUGCAGCCCCGUCCUCACCGCACACCGCUUCGACUUCGACGGAGCCGGCUCCUUCGUCUCCGUCUGUUUCUGCUUCUGCUCCUUCUUCGUCUUCAGUCUCUACUCUUGUCGAAGAAACGGAGCAGAAACUGAUAUUGGCGGCACCAGCGGCGGCUACACUGCGGCCUUCGUCGUCGCGGGCGAGUAGACUUCCCGAGAGGCCGGGAAUCGGAACUGUUGGCACAAAAUGUGUUGUCCGAGCAAAUCACUUUAUGGUACAACUUGCCGAGAGAGACAUUCAUCACUAUGAUGUAAGUCUACUUUUAAUUUUAACUUUGUUAUUUUUUAAAACGUUUUGACUCUUUUUGUUUUUUAUUUUCCGUUUUUCUGGUCAAUUUUGAUUUUAUUUAAGAUUCACCAUUCGUGAGCGUCGAAUUCGAAGAUAUCGGGGUUUUAUUGCUAUUUUAAAAACAUGUUUAUUGUUUUCCUUGUUUAUUUAUUUUUUAAGGUUUCAAUUGAUCAAGUCCAAGAUCUCGAAUCGAAUCGAUAUUCAGAGGUGACGUCAAAAAAAAUCAACAGACAAAUUAUUUCUCAGCUGAUUAAUUUAUAUGGGCUGACUAACUUGGGUGGACGAAUACCUGCCUAUGAUGGUAUGAAGAGCAUUUACACGGCAGGGCCGCUGCCUUUUGUAUCGAAGGAAUUCAUUAUCAAUUUACCUGAUAGUGAUCCUCGUCCCAGCUCGUCUACCAGCCCGGGGUAUCUCAUGCUUUUAACAUGUGUGUUUCUUGAAUAUUGUUGAUUGUGAGUUUUCUUGAUUUAAUGUGUCUGAGUAAUUUCUUAUGCAGAAGGGAGCAUCAGUUUAGGGUGGUUAUCAGAUUGGCAUCGAAGCCUGAUCUUUACACUCUACAGCAGUUCUUACGCCGAAGGCAUUUU